ACACUAAGACCCAACGGAAGAUUACCGGCAAGCUUCGCAACUUCAAAUGCUAGUUCCUUAAAAUCAUCAGGUGGAGAGUCUUUCCCAAAAGCAGAUCGGCAUAACAUCGUAAGAGCAAGAUGUUCAGAUGGGAACUCCACCUCAUAUAUAAGGUCAAUCUCAUGAGCCUUGAGAAGUUGCCUAUCUUGAGUGAUCACAAUUAUUCUGCUUCCAGAUCCAAACCAUUCAGCUUUUCCCACCAAGGUCUUAAGAAACUCUAGACUAUCCACAUCAUCAAGAAGGAUAAGAACUUUCUGUUGCUUUAACCUUUGCUCCACCACACCAAAAUGCUCUAUCUUUAUGUCCUUUUGACCUAAGAUUUCCGAGAGAAGUUCUUUUUCCCACCUCAACUUCAUGCCAGAGACGUCACUACCGCUGGUGCUUUUAUAUGUUAUGAAAGCGCGAUGGUGGAACUGGAUAGAGAGUUUACUGUAAAGAGCUCUUCCUAUGGUACUCUUACCAAUCCCUGAUUGUCCCCAAAUCCCGACCAUUAUUCUAGCUUCCUUGGAUUCCAAGCACAAUACUGAUUUUAUUGCCUCUAUAUGAUUUUCAAUUCCGACUAAGUCGCCAAAAUCAUCCGAUGGUGUCAUAGUUUUUCUCAAAACAUCCUCGGCAAGCUCUUCAAUCAUGGCUGCUUCACUAGGCCUAAUAACAAUAGUCAACUGUUUCAUUAAAGAAGCAACGCAAAACAAAAAAAUCACGAAGUCUAUUCAUUGAAAUACCAUUUCCGAAGAUCAUAUCCGGCCAUAACUGCAACAGCUGCUAGAGCUUGCUUCCAACUUUGUUUCUCAUCCUCUGAUUUAGCCUUGCAUGUCUCUUCAAAGACCUUUCCAAAUUCGCCGGUCUGUUUUUUAACUUCCGAAGCAUCAACGUGGAAGAAAAUCGGAAUCACCAUUUGAUUCAAAUUCGUAUAACACUUGUGAAUCUCCACCAAUUCAUUCAGGCACCAGGUGGAUGAAGCAUAGUUCUUAGAGAAGAUAACGAUUGCUAUUCUCGAUUCUUUUAUUGCCGAUAAAAGCUCCGGGCCGAUUGAGCGGCUCCUCUCGAUCUCAUCAUCUAUGAAUGUGAUUGCUUUGCCCCUGAGCUCCUUGAGAAGAUGGCUGAGGAAUGAGUCACGGACAUCUUCUCCACGAAAGCUUGGGAAAACGUCGUAUCUCCGGCUGCCAGAAGAAGAAGCUAUCUCCAUAUCAUCAUCUUUGGAUGUAUCCAUCAUUUCACGGUCGAGCUCGAGCUCCUUGACAAGAUGGCCACGAAACAAUUUGCCGAAAUUUUCUCCACUGAAGCUCGCGAAAACAUUGUAUAUCCAUCUGAGAACAUUGUAUAUCUAUCUGAAGCAAGAAGACGCCAUGGCAGAGGAUGAGAGAGAAGAGACGAAAUUUCUCAAAGGAAAACUCUUUGAAGUAUAUCAAUAAUACAACACAGUAACAGAGAGGAGAAACUUGGUCUUCCUUUCCUCGAAGACUUGUAUAGAAGACUUACUAUACAAGAUAUUGUUUUAGUGGUUAAAAUCAAAUCCCAUUACAAGACAAUUGGGACAAAUAAUACGUAAACUUGGUCUUCCUUUCUUAGAAGACUUGCAUAGAAGACUUACUGUACAAGAUAUUUUUUUAGUGGUUGAAAAAUCAAAUCCCUAACAAGAUAAGGCCAUAAUUAUGUGAUACAGAAACUUCCCCUUCCUUUCCUUGGAAAGCUUCUACUCUAUAACGAUAAGUCAAUUUUGUGGCUAUCAGUCGUCACUGAAUUUAUCUAUGAUGAUGAGACGUAGCCAUUCUACAAGAUUUCAAGAUAAUUUCUAGGCAAAAUAGACAGAAACUUCCUCGAGAGCUACUUUUCCUCUCCACAGAUAUUUUUGAAGACCCAAAAUUUUGUGGCUGUCAGUGGUUCAAGACAGAAACAAGAUUUCAAUUUAUUUUAACAAUGUUAAGGUUCACUAAUAUCAAAAGUCUGGUUUUCCUAUUCAUACUGUACAUACAUGCAUGGAAAUUAGGAGAAUAAUUAGUAUAUCGAUUAUGAGGAUUAUAAUUCAACUAAUAAUACAGUGAAAACACUAACAACAAACUAUCUAGUUUUCUAGAGCUGUGUGGUGUGGACAGUGGAGAGAAUAUUUUCAUGUAAAGUUUUCUUGUUUACAUUUACAAUUGUAAUAUUAGUUUAGAGUUUUGGCUUACUGUGUCAGCAACCACUGUAGGCUGCGAUUGCAUUUGCUGCCGUUUAAGGAGCAUUUGGUUUCUAAGGGUAGGUUUCAUGUACUGGAUGGAAGAAGUCGUGCUUGAGAGCAUCCUCUGCACUGAUUCGCCGUCUCGGGUUAACGGUCAAACAUCUAUCAACGAGGUCAAGGAGCGACCAUGGAAUUGCAUCUAGAAACUCCAUGCGUUUUGGGUUGAGUUCGUACCAUUUUCUCAACUCCAUCCCUUUCAAGUACCUUGACUUGUACAAUUCCUGAAACAACAACACAAAAAUCAACCUGAACUCAUCUCUCACGAUCAUCUAUCUAAUAAUUUUGUCGGUAAUUUACAUUUUUAAGAUAUAUAAUGUUUUGGAACACAAAAUGCUAACAAUGAAAACCCUUUUGUGAUAUUUGAAUCCAAAUGCUGGCGGCAAAGAAGAACAGAACAUGUAUGUUAUGUUCACACCAAUGCAGUAAUCAAAUGAAUGGAGAGUUUACAAGGGAUGAAAGAUGAGAUUUUACCUCAUGUAAAGAGGAUUCACGGUUGUGCAGCUUGGCUACUUCCCAUAAUUCUUCACUGCCUCGUAGUUGCGCAAUGUCCUUUAUGUUCCUGGGAAUGACAAGGUCGUUGUAAGACGGCAAGAAAGAAGAAAAAAGUGGAACCGAGUGAUGGUGUAUUCAGUCAAGUCAGAUCUUAACUGUUCAGGGUCACCAGUGAGAGCUUUCCUUCCCAUUAUGAGGUAUAACAAAGUAACUCCCGCAGAACACACGUCUUUUUUUAGGUCCUUGGUCCAAAGACCAUUCAGCCGAGAACAGCCCUAGAGAAUUAGCUUUUCCAUCCCAUCCUAGAUGUGUUAAUGAGUAGCUCAGGGAACAAGAUAUUUUCAUAUGGAUUUAACUAGUAUCAAGGGAAGUGAUAUAUCUGCAGGAAAAAUGGCUUGUGUCAAAACAUAUGAAAUCGUCUUGCCAUUAUCAUUAUAGUCAUGCUCGGUCCCAAGUUAUCCUAAAACAGAGGAAAACCGAAUAAUAAGAUGCUUCAGUUACCAGAACCAGAAUUCAAGAUAGGAAUUUCUUCAUCUUGUUGUUCACUUAUCAUGGAAUCAACACACAAAGAUUCCCCCUCCAGAGAUGGAUAAGAAGAAACUGAUGAUGCUUCUCCCUGCCCUAACGAAAGCUCCAUAUUUAGAGCGGUCAAGCUUGUGUCCGCUACAAUUUGGACACAGGGUAAGUUGAUAUAUUCUUCAGAUGUUCCCGAUGUCAUCUGCAUCGUAAACCAAAGGAUCGAUUCUGUUAAAUAGUCUGUCACUAAGGUAUUGAUCCUGGAAAAUAUAAUAAAACAUCAAGAGAUAGCUUUGCAAUUUUCAGUUCUAAUUAUGUCAAAAGGCUUACCCGCAUCCGCUUAUUGCUUCUCGCAGUCUCUACAACAUCACAUUUUUCUCGAGACUGUUGGCUGUACUCUGUUUCAGAGCUUCCAUCACUAUCAUCUGGAAAUGGAGACACAUUCAAGAGUCGUAUACCACAUUCUUUUAUCCUCUUGGAGCAAGAAAAGUUAAACUCCACAUCGUUGAAAGUCAAUUUAGAUGGAAGAUCUUCAGGCUGGAAGUUGAAGGAACAGAAAACCAGAUGAUCCGUCUUACACAACCGCAGGUCUGCAUCUUUAAAAAAUGAUUUGCAAUACAGUGUCCCAUUGAAGCCAGCAUUUACCUCACAAUAUGGACCCCAACUCUUGCCCUCAGUUAGAAGGUCAACCACGAUGCAAGCCUUAAAGCAAGAAUACUUGAGAAAGAGAGCUCUAAGGUAAAGUGACAGUUAGGGAAUCUCCAUAAGCUCGAUGUUGAAAAUACGUUGGCACUUCUCCACCUGGUAAGGACAUAGGCUUGAACAAUGACCGUAAGAUGAGUUCUCGCGCAUCUCCAUCCAAUUUGCAGCAGUUCUGGAAGAGAUAAUGAAAGGCCCCGAUCCGGACUACCUAAGUCCGGACGAGAUCUCUCGACCCAAGUCACUAAGUGACUCGACCCAAGUCACUAAGUGACUCGACCCUAACCAUUUAUGAGGUUCAUUCCCUAGUGUAAUCCGUUUCAUACAAUUCUGUGAUUCAAUAUAUGAGACGAAUAGAGUAAACAAACAAUCGGAUACUUUAUUAAUUAAGUAAAGGAUUCGAUACAACUUAUGAGUUUGCAUAUAAGCUAUUACAAGUAAUUUAAUCGAUCCCUAGACUAUCCGAAACUAUCACCACCCAUCAUUCCGGCCUUGAGUCUCUCGCGCCUAAGCCAAGUCCUUCCCACUAUCACCAUUGGUUCCUGAAAGUCAUAGAGCCAUAAGUAAUUUCAUUUACUUAGUCAUAUGCAAGUCCAUGCAAUGCUCCAUAGUCCUUACACUACUCGGAUCCGCGGAGAGGAUUCGGAGAAGGGAAGAUCGCGCAUAAGUCCGGCCGAUUCUCGGUAGGUCAAUUAAGACCCGCCGGUCCUCCGCCGAGCCGCGUCUCCGCCCCAGCCGAUCCCUUGCCCGGACCGAGGCUUGUGUAGGUUGCACAUGACCCGAUUCUACCCAGCCCAUUAGUCGUUCCUUUCAAGGAAUCCCGACUCAUUUAACGCAUUCUAGAAUCCUUAGACUCGAGGUCUAGGAUUCCUUACCUUCCUUCACGAUGUUCGGUCGAUCCGACCCUUCUUCUUCCUUGCCGGCCACAGUCCGCCUACCGAUUUCCUCCGAUGAUUUAUUCUCCCGAAAGGGAGAGAGUUUAAUGGUGAGUUUCCGGUAUUUUCCGUGUGUUCUGCUGCCUCUAAAGGUCUUGGGCGCCCUCCCUUAUAUAAGGAGCGAAUUGAUGCUUCCCGAAGGAUCACCUCCGUUCCUUGCACCUUUCCGAAGAGUUGCAUCUCUCGGUCCGUAACUGCUCGCCCUUAUCCACCCUUUGGGCGAGCACCCGUUCGACCGUAACCGCCCAAGUAACCGUCCGGGUAACCGCCCAGCUGGUCAGACAGUCGACCAGCUGCCUCGAGCUCAACCGUCACUCGCCCAGCUGCUCGAGCUGGACUGUCACUCAACCCGAGUAACCGUCACUCCUUCCAGCUGAGCUUGAGCUUCGGACGAGCUGACCCAGCUGAUUCCUUUACGAUCCUAGCUUAGCCCGCAUGAUUUCCCUUUGUCCGAGCUUAUGGCCAACUCCUUCCCACUUGUCCGAGACUCCACCUUCUUUUCUCGGACCAAGUCCCAGCCAACGAUCCUAUUGAGGAUCGCGGGCGUUACAAGUCUCCCCUUUGAAUUGGAUUCGACAAAUCGAAUCCAAGUUGAUCUUUACCCAUCUCCUUGAACCACUCCGGAAAAUUGGCCUUCAUCUUAGUCUCGGUUUCCCAAGUGUAUUCUUCACGGCCUCCACAAUUCCACAAGAUUUUUAACAAAUCCAUUGAUUUCCCCCGAGUCCCUUUCUUCAUUUGGUCCAUGAUCCGUACCGGCCAUGCUUCCACCGUCAUGUUCUCCUUUAACCCAGGAGGUACAUCUUCCAUGCUUUCUUCUUGUUCACUUAAGCACUUCCGUAGUUGUGAUACAUGAAAGACAUUGUGAAACGCGUCUAGUUUUGGAGGAAGGUCAAGUUUGUAUGCCACCGCCCCUACUCGUUCGAUCACUUUGUACGGGCCAACGUACCUUGGCCUUAACUUUUUCCUUGAUGUGAAUCGCCCUGCCCCUUUGUAGGUCAUCGCCUUUAAAUACACCAAGUCUCCCACUUGGAAUUCUAAUUCCUUUCGACGCUUGUUGGCGUAACUUUUCUGACGAUCUUGGGCUUCCUUUAACUUGAUUUUUAAGAACUUCAUUUUCUUCGUGGUUUCAUCCACGACCGCAGGUCCGAACAACCGACGUUCGCCCACUGGCGUCCAACACAACGGUGUUCUACCAGCUCGGCCAUACAACGCCUCAUAGGGAGACAUACCAAUACUAGCUUGAAAACUGUUAUUGUACGCAAAUUCUACUAACCUUAGAUAUUUCUCCCAGUUUCCUCCCCAAUCCAAGACGCAUGCCCUCAACAUGUCCUCGAGGGUUUGAAUCGUUCGUUCGGACUGUCCGUCCGUCUGUGGGUGAUAUGCAGUACUUAGAUUCACUCGAGUCCCUAAGACCUUUUGAAAAGGCUUCCAAAAUUUUGACGUGAACCUUGUGUCUCGGUCCGACACUAUACUAACCGGAAUCCCAUGUAAUCGCACGAUCUCGUCUAUGUACUUCUCGGCAAUGAUUUCGGCUGCAUCCUUAUCCGAGAUUGCCAUGAAGUGCGCAGACUUAGUCAAUCGGUCUACUACAACCCAUACCGCAUUGUGUUUGGACUUGAUCCCCGUCGGCAGUCCCGUGACGAAGUCCAUCAUUAUAUGGUCCCACUUCCAUUCCGGUAUAGGUAGGUUUUGUAACAUUCCACUUGGUACUUGAUGCUCUUCCUUGGCUACCCACCUGGCCACAUCUUUCUUCAUUCCUACCCAAUGGUAGUAUCUUUUAAGGUCGCGAUACAUCUUGUUCGACCCAGGAUGGAUCGAGAACUUCGAUUGAUGCGCUUCUUUUAGGAUUUCCUCCUUCAACGCCUUAUCGUUCGGCCCACAUACUCGACCGUUCACCACGAUAGUACCAUUGUUCGAGCUUUGGUACUCGGUUUUAUUGUUUUGUGCCCACCCUUUUAUUUCUUCAUCUCGUUCUUGAGCCGACCGGAUCCUACUAAGUAGGUCGGCUUGAUUGGCGGCUCUCAACCCUAAGGGUUCAACUUCCUUAGACAAAGCAUUCAAAUGCAAUGUCCCCAUCAUGUUAACCAAAUUCACUUGGUUCCUUUCCGCUUCCACUACCGUGCGCAGCCUGCUCAAAGCAUCUACAACUUGGUUGGCCUUGCCCGGAUGGUACGCUAUGUUCAAGUCGUAAUCCGCCACAAGUUUUAUCCACCUUCUUUGCCUUAGAUUUAACUCCGGCUGGGUGAAUAUGUAUUUUAGGCUCUUGUGGUCAGUAAAGAUUUGAACCUUGGCACCAUACAAAUAUGAUCGCCAAAUCUUCAACGCAAAUACUACCGCGGCCAUUUCCAAAUCAUUCGUAGGGUAGUUCUUCUCGUGUUUCCGCAAUUGCCUCGAGGCGUAUGCGAUAACACUCCCCUUUUGGAUCAAUACGCAUCCUAGUCCUACUAUGGAUGCGUCCGUGUAGACCGUAUAGGGCUCACCUUCCUCCGGUAAGACCAACACCGGUGCAUUAGUCAACAUGGCCUUUAACUCCAGGAAGCUUCUCUCGCAUUCCUCCGACCAGUUGAAUGCGGUGUCUUUUCCGGUCAAUUGAGUCAUGGGUUGGGCCAUGCUCGCAAAUCUCUCGACCCAAGUCACUAAGUGAAUGGACCCUAACCAUUUAUGAGGUUCAUUCCCUAGUGUAAUCCGUUUCAUACGAUUCUGUGAUUCAAUAUAUGAGACGAAUAGAGUAAACAAACAAUCAGAUACUUUAUUAAUUAAGUAAAGGAUUCGAUACAACUUAUGAGUUUGCAUAUAAGCUAUUACAAGUAAUAUAAUUGAUCCCUAGACUAUCCGAAACUAUCACCACCCAUCAUCCCGGCCUUGAGUCUCUCGCGCCUAAGCCAAGUCCUUCCCACGAUCACCAUUGGUUCCUGAAAGUCAUAGAGCCAUAAGUAAUCUCAUUUACUUAGUCAUAUGCAAGUCCAUGCAAUGCUCCAUAGUCCUUACACUACUCGGAUCCGCGGAGAGGAUUUGGAGAGGGGAAGAUCGCGCAUAAGUCCAGCCGAUUCUCGGUAGGUCAAUUAAGACCCUCCGGUCCUCCACCGAGCCGCGUCCCCGCCCUAGCCGAUCCCUUGCCCGGACUGAGUCUUGUGUAGGUUGCACAUGACCCGAUUCUACCCAGCCCAUUAGUCGUUCCUUUCAAGGAAUCUCGACUCAAUUAACGUAUUCUAGAAUCCUUAGACUCGAGGUCUAGGUUUCCCUUACCUUCCUUCACGAUGUUCGGUCGAUCCGACCCUUCUUCUUCCUUGCCGGUCACAGUCCGACUACCGAUUUCCUCCGACGAUUUAUUCUCCCGAAAGGACGAGAGUUUAAUAGUGAGUUUCCGGUAUUUUCUGUGUGUUCUGGUGCCUCUAAAGGUCUUGGGCACCCUCCCUUAUAUAAGGGGCGAAUUGAUGCUUCCCGAAGGAUCACCUCCGUUCCUUGCACCUUUCCGAAGAGUUGCAUCUCUCGGUCCGUAACUGCUCGCCCUUAUCCACCCUUUGGGCGAGCACCCGUUCGACCGUAACCGCCCAAGUAACCGUCCGGGUAACCGCCCAGCUGGUCAGACAGUCGACCAGCUGCCUCGAGCUCAACCGUCACUCGCCCAGCUGCUCGAGGUGGACUGUCACUCAACCCGAGUAACCGUCACCCCUUCCAGCUGAGCUUGAGCUUCGGACGAGCUGACCCAGCUGAUUCCUUUACGAUCCUAGCUUAGCCCGCAUGAUUUCCCUUUGUCCGAGCUUAUGGCCAACUCCUUCCCACUUGUCCGAGACUCCACCUUCUUUUCUCAGACCAAGUCCCAGCCAACAAUCCUAUUGAGGAUCGCGGGCGUUACAGAUAACCUGCCCUACAGGCCAAAUGUUUGUGGUUAAGGUUUUCCCAGAAACGAUGACGAGUAUACUCAAUGUUUUCAUAUAAUGGUAUAUAAGAAGAGUGAUCUUCCACACUGGCAUCACUCAUCGCCACGUUGACACCUCUACAUUCUGUAAAGUCGACGAGCUUAAGAAUUGUCAGUCUGAAAAUGUUUGGCGAGAUGUUUUUCAACCUCUUGCAACAAUACAUCAUAAGUACAGUGAGCCACGAGAAAUUUUCAAUGCAGCAGGGAACUUCUUCAAUAGCGGUGUUUUCCAGAUAGAGCCAUUUGAUACUCUUUGAAAUCAGAGGAAAAGUUCUCAAACUUGAGCAACCACUCAGAUCAAGCAUUUUAAGAGAUGACAAGUUGACAUCGGUUGGAAGAACCUCCAGCCCUGUGCAUUCUUUCAUUUCCAACCUCACCAAUUUUUGGAGAUUCCCAAUUGUAGAAGGAACUGUCACCAAACUUUUGCAAUUAGAGAGAUAUAAAUUCACCAGAUUAGUGGCCUUUGAAAGAUCUGGAAUUUCUGUCAGGUUUCCACAUUCUGACAUAUCCAUCUCCACGAGACUUGCAAGCGACUGAAACAGAAAUUAAAAAAAAAAAUUGUUAUGCUUCAAUCACUUUCAUUUUAAUUUAAUAACUAUACACAUUUAAACAAAAUUAUAAUCAAGACAUAAUUCUGUAUGUAAAUAUAAACCGUGGAAUCACAAGCCAUUUUGACAACUUUAAUUUGGUUAUACGUAAUUAUUUACAACAGAGGUUAAACAAAAAUCAGCAAAUGCUAUAAUAUUAACAAUGUACCUGGACGCCUUCCCAUAGCUUCUCAAGCAUUUGGUUGCCUCUCACUAUGAGACGAACCAGAUCAUUUGGGCGAAAUUCACAUGGCAUACAUCUCACAAGGCAGGCGAGAUAAUCAAGACCAGGGAGAUUCUUGUUCCAUAUACAAUUUUCUACGCGGAUCUCAAUUCCAUGUGGCGAAGUAGUUGAAGUUUCCAUUUUAAACACAGGGAAAUUUUUCUCAAAUUAUCGUAAUAAAGGAGACCGAGGUACUCAAGAGAUUCCAAGUUGAGAUGAGUUGGAAAACUCUCUAGCUUUGUGCAACCCCUCAUAUCUAAAUAGAUCAGUUUAAUGGCAUUCUGAAUCGAGGAAGAAAGUGUCACCAAAGAUCUGCAUUCCGAAAGAUUUAAUUCCUCGAGGUUUCUGGCAUUAGAAAGAUCUGAAAUUUCUCUCAAAUAUCUGGAACCAUGCAUAUUCAUCCUCUUGAGGCUUCCAAGUGGCUGAAAACAAAAUAGGGAAAAACAUAAUACACACAUUCAUAAACAUUUCAAAUAGAUUAAUUUUUACCACAGGUCUGUUCUAAAAAUUGACAACUAUUUCAAUGAAGAAUUAAGUACCACAGUUCCUUCCCACAGCUUCUCAAGCUUACUUCCCAUCAUUGUGAGUUGAAUGAGGUAAUCCGCCUUAAAACUAUAAGGCAAACAUUUCAAUGGACACCUAUCCCAGUCUAGCAAUCUGAGUUUAGGGGGCAAAUAAACGAGGCUCUGAGGUAGAUCCAUAUAAUCCCCAGUAACUGAUAGACAUUGGAGAUUACGCAUGCCUUGGAACGAUUUUUCAUCUAUUGGUAAUAGCUCUUUUGAUCGGAAAGCUGUGCAGAAACGUAUUCCAAGAACUGUUUCUGUCCCCUGAAAAAAAUACGAAGUAAACUAGUAUAAUGAUAUAAUCUUUACAAUGGCAACCGUUUUUAUUUUUCUGAGACAUCAAAAGAGCUAGCCACGUUUUAAUUAAGCAGGAGAGGCAACAAUUGUUAAAGUUUAUCAAUCCCCAAAUGACGAUUAAAUUAAUAUAAAGUCAUGCAUUAAAAGGCAUCUGCUAAAAACUUACAGUUUUCUCUGUCAAUACUUCUCAGAGUAUCCUCAAAAUCCGUUAGAAAUCGACGUUUUCCAGGAUUACCCUUGGACUUUGCACGAUCAAUUUCUAUACCCAAUUUCUCUAGCAAAUUGUGCAUCUCUAUAUCUCCAUCCGGUGUAAUACGUAUGAGGGACUUCUCAACCAACAUUGUAACCCCAACAUUAUCUUCAAGUAAAUCGUUGACGUAACUGACUUCAAAACCAUUGAAUAAACACGCGAUGUAAAGGAACAUAUCUUGAUCUUUUUGAUGUAAUCUAUCGUAGCUGACUCUUAAUGUUUUCAUAAUAUCUCCGUUCAAACCAUUUCGGAACCUAGGCAUCAUCUCCAUCCACUCUUCUUUGGUCCUUCGUUUUAAAGACGAACCAAGGACACUGAGACCCAAAGGAAGAUUACCGGCAAGCACUGCAACUUCAAAUGCUAGUGCCUUAAAAUCAUCAGGUGGAGAGUUUUCCCCAAAAGCAGAUCGGCAUAACAUCUUAAGAGCAAGAUCUAGAGAUGGGAACUUCACCUCAUAUAAAAGGUCAAUAUCAUGAGCCUUAAGAAGUUGCAUAUCUUGAGUGAUCACAAUAAUUCUGCUUCCAGGUCCAAACCAUUUAGUUUCCCCCACCAAGGUCUUAAGAAACUCUGGAUCAUCCACAUCAUCAAGAACGAUAAGAACUUUCUUCUGAUUUAACAUUUGCUCCACUACACCUAACUUCCCUCCUAUCUUUAUAUCCUUACCAAGAAUUUUUGACAGAAAUAUUUCUUCCCAUUCAGACUUCAUGCUAUAGACGUGAGGUACGAAAGCGUGAAAGUGGAAUUGGCAAAAGAGUUGACUGUAUAGAGCUUUUCCUAUGGUACUCUUACCAAUCCCUGAAGGCCCCCAAAUCCCAACCAUUCUAGCUUCCUUGGAUUCCAAGCACAAUAUUGAAUUCAUUGCCUCUAAAUGAGCUUCAAUUCCGACGAAAUCGCCAAAAGAAUUCGAUGGUGAAAUAAGCUUAUUCGAAACAUCAUUAGCUAUCUUUACAACCAUGGCUGCUUCACUAGGCCUAAUAACAGUAGUCAAAUUGUGUCAAUAAAGAGGCACCCCUAAAGCACACAAUCCAAAAAAAGAAGAAGCAGAUAGCAUAGUUCAGAGAUAAUUAAAAACACACUCAGAGAUAAUGAAAUCAAAAACAAAGUACCCGUUUCGAAGAUCUUCUCCGGCUAUAUUUGUUAUGUCUACUAGAGCUUGCAUCCAUCUUUGUUUCUGAUCCUCUUCUUUGUCCUCGCAUGUCUUUUUAAAAACAUCGCCAAAUUCGCCGGUCUGUUUUCUAACUUCCGAAGGAUCAACGUCGUAAAAAACUGAAAUCACCAAUUGACCCCAAUCAUUUAAGCGAUUGUGGAUCUCAACCAAUUCAUCCAAGCACCAAGUGGAAGAAGCAUAGUUCUUAGAGAAGAUCACGAUUGAGAUCCUUGCUUCUCUAAUCGCUGAUAUUAGCUCAGGGGCUAUUGUACGGCUUCGUUCGAUGCCAUGAUCCAUGAAUGUAUUGAUUGAUCUGCGGUCGAACGCCUCGAGUAGAUUGCUGAGGAACGUCUUGCGAACAUCUACCCCACUGAAGCUUGGGAAAACAUCGUAUCUCCGGCUGCAAGAAGAAGAAGCCGCCGCCAUGGAAUAUGAUGAGGAGAAGAUAAGUACAGUAAAUCGAAUACACAGUGAUUAUUGAUUAGAGUGAUUACUGUGAGGCCGGUCCUUAAGGGUGGGAUGCGCAAGGAAACUUCUUAUUUUUUGCCCAUAGGCCAUAAAUAUAAAAAUGUAGCGAAAUGUUUGUAAUGAGGUUCGAACCAAGGCCAAUGAAGCAUUUAAAACCUGAUUUCAAGUAUUCAACCGCUCAACUACAAGUUAUGAUGCCUCUUAAAUCAAUAUUAGAUUUAUUUUGGUGUCCAAGGUCUUUGCUUAUUGUAAAAAGGACAGCUUAUCGUAAACAUGUUGAGUGGGGAAUUCAGUCUUUGUUUCCCUAUACUUACAUGCAUAGAAACUAGGAGAAUUUGUAAGUAUAUCAAUUAUGAGGAUUUUAAUUCACAUAAUAAUAUAGUGAAAACAUUAACUAUCUAGUUUGUUAAAAAAAAAACUCUUUUAGCUUUCUAGAGUUGUGUGGUGUGGUGUGGAUGGACAGUGGAGUGAAGAUUUCUAGAAACUCUCUGCGUUUUGUGUUGAGUUCUCCUCAUUUUCUCAACUCCAUCCCCUUCAAGUACCUUGACACGUACAAUUCCUGAAACAACAACACAAAAAUCUAUGUGAAUUCAGCUCUCACGAUCAUCUAUCAAAUCACUUUAUCAGUAAUUUACAUUUUAAAGUUAUAUCAUGUUCUGGACUAACAAUGAAAACCAUUUUAUGUGAUAUUUGAAUCCAUAUGCUGGUGGCAAAGAAGAACAGAGCAUUUGUAUUAUGUCACACAAAUUCAGCAAUCAAGUGAAUGGAGAGUUUAUAAGGGAUGUAAGAUGAGAUUUUACCUCAGGCAAAGAGGUUUCACGAUUGCAGCUUGGCUACUUCCCAUAAGUCUUCACUGCCUCGUAGUUACUCAAUGUCCUUUAUGUUCCUAGGAAUCACAAGGUCGUUGUAAGACGGCAAGAACGAAAAAAGAGUGGAAUCGACUGAUGGUGUAUUAUAUUUUUAUUUAUUAUUAUUAGGUCAUUGGUGCAAAUAUCUGAAGCAAACCUGCACAAACCAAUUCAGCUAAAAUAAGCACCAGAGAAAUUAGCUUUCACAUCCUAAAUGUGACAAUGACUAGCUCACUUGACCUCAGGGUCGUGAUUGAGUUUGGUGGUUGUGGCCGGUGAGUAGGACGGGUGGAAGCUGGUUUUGUAUGUAUGGGGCAGUGGUGGUGCUGAGUUAUGUUGUAAUCACUGUUUUUUACUGUGAGUGUAGGAAACGCCAUGGUAGCAGUGAUGCAUUUAAUGCUGAUGAGGUUGCUAUUUAAAAAUUUAGUUCCAACACUUUUUUGUUGUUGAUAAUUCUCUUGUGAAAUACAUUUUUCUUUACCGAAUUUAUUCAUUGAUUUAAAGAGAGAAAAAUAACCUUUGGUAACAUACACGUAGAGAGAUAUGUGUGUUUCAAAAGACAAGACUGUUAUAUUUACAUCUUUUCAGGAAAGCGAAUUUUUCAAAGAAGCAAAACAGAGAGAAGUAAGAACAGAGUGGUUCUGCUGUUCUGGACAUGGAACCAUAAAAGUUUUCUAGUUGUCAGUGCUCCAUCAUCUGCAGGAGAAAAUGGCUUGUGUGAAAAACUAAGAAAUCGUCUUGUCAUUACCAGUAUAGUCAUGGUCGAUCCCAUGUUCAUUAUAAAACAGAGUUGUAAUACGUUUCAGGUUACCUUAACAAUGUGAUAAGCUGUAGAGACGGCUAAGGAUCCAGGAAAGGAAUCUUAACAAUGUGAUGGUGUGAAUUCAGUCAAGGCAGAUCUUAACUGUUCAGGGUCAGCAGUGAAAGGUGUCGUCCCCAUCAGACCAUACGUUUUAUUUAGGCCCUUGAUGCAAAGAUCUGAAGCAAACCAAUUCAGUCAAGAACAGCCCCAGAGAAUGAGCUUCCCAUCCUAGAUGUUCUAGUGAGUAGUUCAGGCCUACAACUUUCACUCUUCUCGAUAUAAUUAAAGAGUGCAGCGGCAUAGGGGAACAGCAGCGACAUAUUUUCUCAUCGACGUAGGAUAGCUGGAUGAUACUUCAUGGUUUGGAAGUGGACCAGACAAUGUCUCCUGUAGAAAGUUUAAAAGCUCUUUCCUUCACCCGAAGGAUUGUUCCUUAUGCUGGUUACAUCUUUGGCCGAAGUUAGGCCAAAAACGCUUCUGCCUUUUGGCUAUUGAAUCAGCGGAUAUGCAAAUGUUGCUGAUUCUUGUUGUUUUCUGUACCCAAAGUCUGAUUUAUUCAUUGCUAAUAAAGAGAAAAACAACCUUUACUAACAUAAACAUUGAGAUCUAUGUUUUAAAAAGGCAAGACUAUUUUGGGUAGUACCUGCACUCAAGCAGGUACGCUCCCAAAUUCAAUGUCUUUCUUAAAAAUAGAAUAUGUUUUUACAAAACAAAACAAUGCCAAAGAUGUUUUUCCAGAAUAUGCUAAAGUAUGGCUUUCUGAAACAUUUAUUCUUUCAGGAAAAGUGAAAUGUUCAAAACAAACGCAGAGCUGGAUAAUGUAACGGACUUUGGUUCUCCUAAAGAUCUUCAUCAUCUGCAGUUAAUUAUCAUUAUCAUUAUAGUCAUAGUCGAUCCCAAGUUAUCCUAAAACAGAGUAAAACAGAAUGAUAAGAUGCUUCAGUUACCAGAAUCAGUAGACAAGAUAGGAAUUUCUUCAUCUUGUUCUUCAGUUAUCAUGUAAUCAACACACAAAGCUUCCCCCUCUAGAGAUGUUGAUGAUGAUGCUUCUCCCUGCCCUAACGAAAGCUCCAUAUUUAGAGCGGCCAAUCCUGAGUCCGCUACAAUUUGGCCAUAGGGUAAGUUGAUAUAUUCUUCAGAUGUCCCCGAUGUCAUCUGCAUUAUAAAUCAAACGAUCGAUUCUAUUAAAUAGUCUGUCCCUAUGGUGUUUCGAUCCUGAAAAAUCAAACCAAAAGUCAAAAGAUAGCUUUAUAAUUUUCAGCUCUAAUCAAAAGUCAAAAGAUACCCCCAUCCGCUUCUCGCUUCUCGUAGUCUGUUGGUUGUACUCUGUUUCUUGAUAGACAUACAAGAGUCGUACACCGCAUUCUUUGAUCCUAUUGGAGCAACAAAAUUUAAACUCCAUUCAGACCAGAUCUUGAAGGAACAGAAAAACAGAUGAUCCGUCUUACAAAACUGCAGGUCUGCAUCUUCAAAAAAUGAUUUCUGAUACUGUUUGCCAUUGAAGCCAACAUUUACCUUCAAGGAUGGAUAAAAACCCUUGCCCUCGGAGGGAGGUUCAACCACGACGCAAGCCUUAAAUGGAAAGAAGUAUUGAGAAAGAGAGCUCUGAGGUAAAGUGACAGUUAGGGAAUCUCCAUAAGCUCGAUACGUGAAAUACUUAGGGAUUUCUCCACCUGGUAAGGCCACAUGCUUGAAGCAUGAUCGUAGGAUAAGUUCUCGCGCAUCUCUUUCCAAUUUGAAGCAAUUGCAGAAGCUAAAGGAUUCCCUACGUAAGCGCCAAUCUACGACGUAGUUCUUAUAAUCAUCAUCAUACAACGCAUCCCAGAAACGUUCACAUGUAUAUUCAAUGUUUUCAGAUAAUGGUACACAAGAAACGUGAUCUUCCAUUGUCGCUACCACAGUUGCAUCACUCAACGCCUUGAUGACACCUCUACAGUCUGUAAAGUCGGCGAACAUUAGACUUCUCAGUCUGAAAAUGUUUGGGGAGAUGUUUUUCAACCUCUGGCAACAAUACAUCAGUAGUACACGGAGCCUCGUGAAAUCCUCAAUGCAGCAGGGAACUUCUCCAAUGGCGGUGUUUUCCAGAUAGAGCCAUACAAUAUUAGUUGAAAUCAGAGGAAAAGUUCUCAAACUUGAGCAACCACUGAGAUCGAGGAUACCCAGAGAUGACAAGUUGACAUCGGUUGGAAGAACCUCCAGCCCUGUGCAUCUUUUCAUGUACAAACGUCUCAAAUUUUGAAGAUUCCCAAUUGUAGAAGGAAGUGUCACCAAACUUUUGCAGUUGUUGAGUAUCAAAGACUCGAGCUUGGUGGCCUUUGAAAGAUCUAGAAUUUCUUCAAUGGCGGUGUUUUCCAGAUAGAGCCAUUUGAUACUCUUUGAAAUCAGAGGAAAAGUUCUCAAACUUGAGCAACCACUGAGAUCGAGGGUUUCGAGAGAUGACAAGUUGACAUCGGUUGGAAGAACCUCCAGCCCUGUGCAUUCUUUCAUUUCCAACCUCACCAAUUUUUGGAGAUUCCCAAUAGUAGAAGGAAGUGUCACCAAACUUUUGCAGUUGUUGAGAUAUAAAUGCUUCAGAUUGGUGGCCUUUGAAAGAUCUGGAAUUUCUGUCAGGUUUUCAGAUUCUGACAGAUCCAUCUCUUCGAGACUUCCAAGCGACUGAAAAAAACAUUAUCGAUGAUAAUCAUUUUAAUUUUAUACCUAUAUAUGUUUAAAAUUAUAAUUAAACAUUAUUACGUAUGUAUGUAAGACAUAACCGUGGAUCGACCACAAGCCAUAAAAACAAAUUUGGGUAUACUUAAUUAGUUAUAUAACAGAAGGUAAACAAAAAUCAGCAUAGCAUUAACAAUGUACCUGGAUGCCUUCCCAUAGCUUCUCAUGCUUGUAGCACCUCACAUUGAGAAAAACGAGAUAUUCUGGGCGAAAUUCACAAGGCAUACAUCUCAUAAGGCAGUCGAGAUAAUCUAGUCCAGCAGGGAGAUUCUUGUUCCAGAAACAAUCUUCUACCACGAUCUCAUUUCUCCCUUCCGGAAAGUCAACGUCUGAACAUCCCAUUUUGAUUGCUGGGAAAUUUCUCAAAUUCGGGCAUCCAGUGAGAUUGAGGUACUCGAGAGAUUCCAAGUUGAGAUCGGUUGGAAAACUCUCUAGCUUUUUGCAAUCACUAAUAUCUAAAUAGAUAAGUUUAAUGGCAUUCUGCAUCGAGGAAGGAAAUGUCACCAAGGAUUCGCAUUUACAAAUAUCUACUUCCUCGAGGUUUAUGGCUAAAGAAAGAUCUGGAAUCUCUUUCAAAUAUUUGGAACCACGCAGAAACAUCUGCUUGAGUCUUCCAAGUGGCUAAUAACAAAAUAGGGGAAAAGAGAGUACACACGUUAGUGAACAUUUUAAACAGAUUCAUUUUAGUUUUUCUAACAGAUUUAUGUUUAGAAAUUGAUCACUAAUAGAAUUAGUACCUGAGUUCCAUCCCACAGCUUCUCAAGGUCACUAUUCUCCAUUCUGAGUUUAACCAGAUACUCAACCUUAAAAUUAGAAUGCAAACGCUUCAAUGGACAAUUAUUCCACAAUAGCAAUCUGAGUUUACUAGGGAAAUAAACGAUGCCCUGAGUGCCUUCCAUACGUGAGCAAUCAACUGAUAGAUAUUCGAGAUUACACAUGCCUUCUAAUGAUUUUAAAUCUAUUAAUAGCACCCCCGAACAAUAUAACGUCCUCAGUUUAAUGGCAUUCUGAAUCGAGGAAGGAAGUGUCACCAAAGAUUCGCAUUCAGAAAGAUUUAAUUCCUCGAGGUUUAUGGCUAAAGAAAGAUCUGGAAUUUCUUUAAAAUAUUUGGAAUACCACAAAUUCAUCUUCUUGAGACUUCCAAGGGGCUGAAAACAACAUAUGGAAAAAGAGAAUACACACGUUCACAAUUUUUUUAAAACAGAUUCAUUUGAAGCUUUUCUAACAUAUAUAUGUUCAUAAAUAUACCACAGUUCUAUUCUAAAAACUGACAACUAAUAAAAUUUAUAAUUCGUACCAGAGUUCCUUCCCACAGUUUCUCAAGCUUACUAUUCUUCAUUAUGAGUUUAACUAGAUACUCCGCCCUAAAAGUAGAUGGCAAAGACUUCAACGGACAAUAAACCCAUUCUAGCAAUCUGAGUUUAAGGGGCAAAUAAACGAGGCUCUGAGGUAGAUCCCCAUCUGACCAAUAACCAAUUUCUAGAUAUUGGAGAUUACGCAUGCCUUUGAAUAAUUUUUCAUCUAUUAAGAACGACCUUGUCGUAAGAUAUCCCGGGUGUGGCAAACGUAUUCCAAGAAGAAUUUCUGUCCCCUGAAAAAAAAUCCGAAGAAAACUAAUAUAAUCUUAACAAUCGCAACCUUUUUUUAUUUUUCUGACACAUCAAAGCUACGUUUUAAUUACGCAUGAGGCAACAAUUGCUUAAGUUUAUCAAUCCCCAAAUUACGAUUAUACUAGAUAUUGACCCGCGGUGUACCGCGGGUGGAUAUGUUCAUAGAAAAGUUAUACAUAUUUUUUAUACGAAUUAUUAUUUUUAUAUAAAUAAUAUUUUCUUAACACAUAAUUUUUAUUUAUGUAAAUCUUGGAUAAUUCAUGUUUUAUGUUCUCAUAUUUGUUAGUUUAAUAUUAAAAUUCAGUAUUUGUUUUUUUGGUUUGGGUUUUUUAGAGAUAAUAAAGAUCUAAAAUUCAUGUUUGGGGUCGAUAUUUUUAUCAGAAAAUUAAAUAUUUUUAUUUUAAUUAAUAUUAUUUAUAUAUAUAAUAUAUUCAAGAAGUACAUCAAAGGCCUAUAUUUUUAUUAAAUAAAAAAUAAUAUUUUUGUCUUUAAAAUGAUCUAUAGAUAUAUGCUAUUGUUUUUUUAUGUAUGAUACUAUGAUACACCUCUGUAUGAUUUUUAUAACUAAUUUUUUUUAAAAAAAUUAAAAUUUUUUUUAGUGUUUAAAAUUGUAUAAUUGUAUUUUGAUUGUUAAUUUUAGGAUUUCAUCCAUAGUAUAUCAUCCCGUAUCAAUAUCGAUCCAAACUCAUCCCACCAUAUAACCUCGUCCCGUGAAAUUAAAACUUCAUAAAAUUUUAAAAUCAUUAAUAUUUUAAAAAAAUUUAUAGACUUUAACUUUUAAAAAAGUUUAAAAAUUUGUAAUACUUAACUUUUAAUAAAGUUUCAAAAUAUAUAAUAUUUUAAAACUUUAAAACUUUUACUUAUUUAAAAUAAAGAACCAAAGUAAAACGAAAGCUCCUGCUCUUUCGUUUUCAGAAUCACUUUGGUCUUUUUUAUAGUAUAACUCUUAACGAUUUCCUCAUUUUUAAGCAAUGUGAGACCUUUAAAACUUAUUUUUUUUCAUCGAUGGAGUAUUAUAUGUUUGUUUUAAGAAAUUUAAAUUUCAUCAGAUGCAAAAAAAAUCUAAUAUUUUAUUAACUAUAUGUAUUUUAUAUAUAAAGUAAAAAAAAAUAGAUAUAAAAACAAAUAUAGUGACAGAAAAAUUAUAUAUUUAUAUUUAAUGUCGAUAUAUAGAUUUUAGAAAAUUAGCCUUAAUCGAAUAUAGUUCAAUAAAGAAAGAUUUAGUUAAGGAUAAAAAUUUAGGAAAGAGUUAAUUCAACUAAUUAAUGCAAUUAAGCUAAUUGUAAUUUUUUAGUUAUAAAGUAUUUGAUUGAGAUUAAAUUUGUAAGGACUAAUAUUGAAAAUAGUAAAUAGGUGAGGGAUUUUUGGCCAAAAACCCUACCAAAAAUGUAUAUGUAGAUUGACAUAAAGUCAUGCAUUACAACGUUUAAGGAGAUGCGAAAAACUUACAGUUUUCUCGGCCAAUACUUCUUGAAUAUCCUCAAAAUUUGUCAGAAAUUGACGUUUUCCAGGAUUACCCUUGGACUUUGCACGAUCAAUUUCUCUACCCAAUUUCUCUAGCAAAUUGUGCAUCUCUAUAUCUCCAUCCGGUGUAAUACGUAUGAGGGACUUCUCAACCAACAUUGUAAGCCCAACAUCAUCUUCAAGUAAUUCUUUGACGUUACUGACUUUAAAACCAUUGAAGAAACAUGCAAUGCACUUAAAUAACUCUCUAUUUUUUUUAUUUAACCUAUCGUAGCAGACUCUUAGUGUUUCCUCAAUUUUAUCAUCUGAGUCAUUUCGAAGCCUAGGCAUCAUCUUCACCCACUCAUCUUUGUCCCUUCCUUUUAGAGAUGAACCCAAGACACUGAGACCCAAAGGAAGACUACCAGCAAGCUCGGCAACUUCAAAUGCUAGUGCCUUAAAAUCAUCAGGUGGAGAGUCUUUCCCAAAAGCAUAUUGGGAUAUCAUCUGAAGAGCAAGACCUUGAGAUGGCAGCUUCACCUCAUAUACAAGGUCAAUCUCAUGAGCCUUGAGAAGUUGCCUAUCUUGAGUGAUCACAAUUAUUCUGCUUCCAGAUCCAAACCAUUCAGCUUUUCCCACUAAGGUCUUAAGAAACUCUAGAUUAUCCACAUCAUCAAGAAGGAUAAGAACUUUUUUGUGCUUUAAUCUUUGCUCCACCACACCAAAAUGAUCUAUCUUUAUGUCCUUUUGACCUAAGAUUUCCGAGAGAAGUUCUUUUUGCCAACUCAACUUCAUGCCAGAGACGUCACUACCGCUGGUGCUUUUGUAAGUUACGAAAGCGCGAAGGGGGAAUUGGCUAGAGAGUUGACUGAAAAGAGCUCUUCCUAUGGUACUCUUACCAAUCCCUGACUGUCCCCAAAUCCCGACCAUUAUUUUAGCUUCUUUGGAUUCCAAGCACAGUAUUGAUUUUAUUGCCUCUAUAUGAUCUUCAAUUCCGACUAAGUCACCAAAACCCUUUGGCGGAUGAAAAAGUUUAUUCGAAACAUCAUUGGCUAUCUUUUCAACCAUAUGCGCAUCAUUAGGCCUAAUAACAAUAGUCAAAUGUGUCAAUAAAGAGGCACCCUUAAAAGCACAUCCAAGUCUAUGCAAAAAAUAUUGUAUAGUUCUACGAUAAUUAUAAACACACACAUAAUUCAAAAAAAAACACACACAUAAAUAAUGGAAUCAAAACAACAUACCCGUUCCGAAGAUCCUCCCCGGCAAUAUUUGAUAUAUCUGUGAGAGCUUUAACCCAUCUUUGUUUCUGAUCUGCUGGUUUGUCCUCGCAUGUCUUUUUAAAGACCUUUCCAAAUUCACCGAUCUGUUUUCUAACAUGAGAAGGAUCAACGUCGUAGAAAACCGGUAUCACCUUUUGUCCAAAAUAUUUAGAGCAAUUGUCGAUUUCAACCAAUUCAUUCAAGCACCACGUGGAAGCAGCAUAGUUCUUAGAGAAGAUGACAAUUGAGAUCCUCGCUUCUCUAAUCGCCGAUAUAAGCGCAUCGGCGAUUAUGCAGCUUCUCUCGAUGACGUGAUCCAUGAAUGUAUUGAUUGAUCUGCGAUUGAGCUGCUUAAGAAGAUGGCUGAGGAAAUUCUUGCGAACAUCUUCCCCACUGAAGCUUGGAAAAAUGUCGCUGCCAGAAGAAGAAGCUGCCGCCAUGAAAGAUGAUGAGUUUGAGAUAGAAUAUCUUUAAAAGAAGUAAAUCAGCAAUACAUAAUGAUUAGUGUGCAGGAAGAGGAGAAAUCGUGCAUAGAAGACUUAUGCUGUGCGAAACGGAGUACCUUAUAUUCGCUGGGAAACGUGCUGUUAUGUACAAGAUUAGUAAUUUUUUAGUGGUUAAUAUCAAAUCUCCUAACAAGAGUAGGGUGACGACAGGCACAAUUAAGAUAAUAAAUAACUAGAUAACACAGAAACUUCGCCUUUCAUUCGUCGAAGAGUUGCAUAGAAGACUUAUUAUACAAGAUGUUUAUUUUACUGGUUAAAAUCAAAUCCCUUAACAAGAGAGUAUGGUGAGACACACCUAAUAUAUAAUAACAAUUUAACACAGAAACUUCGCCUUCCUUUUCUUGAAGAUUUGCAUAGAAGACUUUGUUCAAGAUAUAUUUUUUUAGAGGUUAAUUGAUAUCAAUUUUCCUAACAAAGUAUGAUGUAUUAAGACAUAAUAAUAACUUAAUAAGACAGAAACUUCGCCUUUCUUUCGUUGAAGACUCGCAUAGAAGACUUGCUAGUUGCUAUACAAGAUAUUUAUUUUACAGGUUAAAAUCAAAUCCCCUAACAAGAGACUAUAGUGAGAGACACAAUCAAGUUAUAACAAAUUAACACAGAAACUUCCUUCCUUUCCUUGCAGGCUUGCAUAGAAGACUUACUGUACAAGUUAUAUUUUUGUAGUGUAUGAUGACAGACACAAUAAUAAAUACAAAGAAACUUCGCCUGGCAUAGAAGACUUACUGUACUUCUAGUGGUUAAAAUAAAAUCGCCCUGAAAGAACUCAUAACUUUUUAGGCUACGUCAGCCGAGAAAAUUGCGACAGGAGAGGCGACUAGGGUUUUUUUCUUUUGCCGCACGCGAAGGGUUCCUAGCAGUCAGCCACCGAAUCUAUGUUCAGAAGGAGAAAGGGAAUUAUACAACGAUGUUCCAUCGCCAUGAAAUUUGCUUGAAGAAACUGAUAACAGUAGUAUCAUACUUAUAGAAGAAGACAUCUGGAAAGUUCCAAAUUUGGAGCCGUCAAGCUUGUGUUUGCUACUGUUUUACCACAGAGUAAGUUGGAAGGUUCUUCAUAUGUUCUUACCGUAAUCUGCAUAAUAAAAUCAAAUCUAUUAAAUUCCUUUGGUCUAUUUUGCAGGUGAUCCUGAAAAUGAAUCAAGAGUUAGAUAUGUAAUUUUCCGUUCAAUAAUUCAAAGCUUCACCCGCUUUAGCUUCUUGCUUCUCCCAUUGACUAUGUCACUUUCUCUAGAAUGUUGGUUGUUCUCAGUUUGAGCGCUCGUACCACUACCAUCCUCAGAUGGAGAGGCAUCUAAAUGCCGUACGCUGAAUUUUUUUAUCCUCUUAAACGACAAGUUUGCGUGUCGUGGUCAAGCCCAAAUUUGACACAAGAACAAGCAUUGCUAUGAUAUUCAAACUUGAAUUUCACAUCGUUGUAGUCCAAUUCAUAUGGAUAACCAAAGACUUCUUCUGAAGGGCAAAACUCAGAGCGGAACACAACCAUAAUGUACUAGGUAAGAUUUUUGAAUUAGAUUGUGCUACUUUGAAUUCCGAUGGUGUUUUUUGCAGCGUUCUAUUCUUCUAAUCAUUAUAUACUUUGUAAGAAAUAAGUAGUUUAUAAUCAAUUCUUUGCGAAAAAAUUAGUAUAGCAAGCAAAAUAAUUUACGUUACUAGAUUUCAAAUCCCAAUUUGAGCGGGAAGUCCAUCUAGUUUGAAGCUAAAAGGCUUUAUGACAAAUAUACUCUAACAAGCUUGCAGGCCAAGCAAAUCAUAUUAGAAGCAAAAGAAAGGUCGAGAAAAUAUCUUAGGAACAUCAUUAAUGAAUGAGUUUAAGGAGAAUGUUACCUGGAUUACUUCCCAUAACUUCUCAAGCUUGCUACCUGGCAUUGUAAGCUCUGCGACACAUUCUGCAUGACAUUUAGACGGUAAAUAUUUUAUUGGACAAUCAAUCCAAACGAGUUCAGUGAGACCAAAGAUAUUCCCAAUAAAGAAACAAUCUAUGUCUUCUCUGAUUGCAGUUUCGUUUAGAUGGAGCUCUGAAAUGUUCUUUGAAAUUCGAGGGAAACAUCUCAAACUUGAACAUCCCCUGAGAUCGAGGUGUACUCUAGAGAUUCCAAGUUAACGCCGGUUGGGAGAACUUUUAGAUUUUUGCAUCCUUGCAUUUCCAACCGCCUCAGUUUAUUGAGAUUCCGAAUUGAAGAAGGAAGCAUCACUAAACUUUUGCAAUCGUUAAGUUCCAAGUGGUCAAGAUUGAUGGCCGUUGAAAGAUCUGGAAAUUCUUUCAGGUUUUCACUUCCUGACAAAUCCUUCCUCACCAGACAGACUCCUUCCCACAACUUCUCAAGCUUGCUAUUCUCCAUUGUGAGUUUAAUCAAAAUUUCAGCCCUAAAAUUGAAACACAUACUCGUCAACGGAUAUUCAUCCCAAUAUAGCAAUCUGAGUUUUCGGGCCAAAUAAAUGAAUCCCUGAGGUAAACACAAUCUGCUUUCACCAGUCUCUAGCGAUCGACAACUCCUUGUAAAAUUUUAGAAAUGUGAGAUUACACAUUCCUUUGAAGAUUGUCCAUUUACAAACAAUCUAUUUCUGAGAUUACACUCAUCGAUUUCUGUUGUGUUGAAAGACAUGCCUAGCACAUUUUCAGUUCCUGAAAAAAAAACAUUAGUAUUUUACAACGGUCACAAUAAUCUAUUACGUUAUAGAUGACUCUCUUCGAUUCAUAUGGAGUAGUGUACUCAAACAUGAAAAUCAACUGACCCACCUUCCUUCUUAGUGGGUCCGCCACUGAUCAACAAGCAAGUUCUUGAUAUAAUCAACUUUUUGAUCAUUAAGUAAACACGCAAUGUAAAGGAAGACUUCUUCUUACUCCUUCAUUGUGCCUUCUCAGAACAGGUUUGGUUUCUGGUUCUUCACAGACUAGGAUUACCACAAUGUACUUUUGUUGAUUGGUCUACUGUCAUCACUUGGCUCCUGACCAAAUCCCCUUCCCUAUCAAAUGCUUUGAAACGCAUUUCUGCCCAAGCCACUAUCUACCUGCUCUGGCGAGAAAGGAACAAUCGCUUACACAAUGAUCUUUCCUCUUCGGUCUCUGUGAUCUUUGGUCAGAUUGAUAGGAAUAUAAAGGAUACUCUUCUUGCUCGUCAGUACAGGAAAGGUUGUGGGAGACUUCUAUCCCAAUGGUUUUCUUAUAGUUAACAUAUCUAUUCUAUUGAUCGAUGUUUCAAUCAUGGCUUUUUAAUUUUUUUUGGGCCUUUGAAACUGGCUGCCUUUUGGCAUUGUAAAUAACAUUUCCACUUUCCUUCUAAGGUAAUAUAUAUUCACAAGUUAUCAAAAAAAAAAAAAAAAGGGAAGACUUCUUUAUCUUUGUCAUCUAACUUAUCGUAGCUGACUCUUAAUGUUUUCUCAAAUUUUCCGUCUAGACCAUUUCGAACCCUAGGCAACAACUCCAUCCAUAGUCCUUGUCCUUUCCUCUUAAUGAAGAAACCAAAAGAUUGAGACAUAAAGGAAGAUUACCGAAAAGUUUUGCAACUUCACGAGUUAAAUUCACGAAACCAUCUGGUGGAGCGUUUUGCCCAAAAACACAUCGACAAAACAUUUGUAGAGCCAAAAUUAUAUUUCAGAUGGAAAAUUCAGUUCAUAAACAAGGUCAAUCUUAUGAGACUUGAAAAAGUUUUUUUUAUCUUUACUUAUCACAACAAUUCUGCUUCCAAUCCCAAACCAUCCAGUUUGUGCCACCAAGGUCUUUAAUAGCUCAAGAUCAUCAACAUCGUCAAUAAUUAUAAGAACUUUCUUGUGCUUUAACCUUUGUUCCACCGCACAUAAAUGCAAAACCUUUAUGUCCUUUUGACAUAAAAUUUCUGAUAAAACCUGUUCUUCUCGGUUGGUUUAUAAGUUACGAAAGCGCGAAGGGGGAAUUGGCUAGAGAGUUGACUGAAAAGAGCUCUUCCUAGGGUACUCUUACCAAUCCCUACCAUUCUAGCUUCUUCAGAUUCCAAGCACAACAAUGAACUCAAUCUCUCUAAAUGAGCUUCAACACCAACGAAAUCACCUAAAUCACUCGAUGGUGUUAUGAGCUUAUUCGGAACAUCGUUGGAAAUUGUUUCAAUCAUGUUUGCUUCAUUACACCUAAAAAUCAAUACUCAAAUGUCAGCAAUGAACACUACAAUCGGAGUCUUAAGCCUAAUCAAACAAAAAUUUGAAAAAAAAAAAUACCAGUUUCGAGAAUCCUCUCCAGCCAUAUUUGCCACAUCUGCUAGAGCUUUCCUACACCUUUGUUUCUCAUCAUCUGUUUUGUUCUUGCAUGUCUCUUCAAAGACCUUUCCAAAUUCUCCGGUCUGUUUCCUAACAUCAGAAUGAUCAACCUCGUAGAAAAUCGGAGUCACCAUUUGAUCCAAGUUUUUAAAGCACUUGUGGAUCUCAACCAAUUCAUUCAAGCACUAGGUGGAAGAAGCAUAUAUACUUGUUAGAGAAGACGACGAUUGAGAUCCUCGAUUCUCUUAUAGCCAAUAAAAGCUCUGGGCCGAUUGGGCGGCUUCUCUCGAUCUCAUGGUCGAUGUGUAUUGAUUGAUCUGCGAUCAAGCUUCUUAAGUAGAUGGAUGAUGAAUGAAUUACGGACAUCUUCAUCGCUGAAGCUCGGAAAAACGACGUAUCUCUUGCUGCGAGAAGAAGAAGAUACUCUAAACCUCGACAAUGACUAUACGACUGGGGAUGAGAUGGAUCUGGAUGAGGAGAAUGAAGAUGAAGAACAAGCAGGCCUAGAUUCACUUGCUAGUACAGCUAAUAACAAGGUGAAAGGUAGACGUAGACGUAAGCGUUUCAAAGUGCUUAAUAAUUAGAGAUAAUUUUAGUACCACAAGGAUAAUUUUAGUACCAUUGGAACUAAACUGGAAGAUCAUUAUGAGUGAUGUGCAAUGCAAAUACUGCAAUCAUACUUAUUGCUUAGACCUACGUAGAAGUGGUACAACUACUAUGUUGCGUCACAUGAGAGUUUGCUCAAAGACUCCUGGAAGUACACCUGCAACUGGAAUAAAAAGCUUGAUAUGAUGGUGUUUAGGGAGAUGAUUGGAUUAGAUUAGCAAUAAUUGAGCAUGAUUUGCCUUUUUCUUUUGUUGAGGACAAAAUAAUUAGAGAGACAUUUCUCUAUGCUAAUUCUAGCAUAUAAUUUUGGAGUAGGAACACCGCAACUUUUGAUUUCAAGUAUUGGACCGAGCUAAUGGACAUGGACAGUCCAUUUCGACAGCUCUAGCUUUGGAUGAGACUUGAUGGUUUGGAAUUGGAGUUGACUCCUUCACAAAGUUUUAAUAGUUCUUCCUUGCAUGACACGGAAAAGGCUAUCUCCUUUUUUCACCACCUGAAGGGUUGCUUCUUGUACUGGUCACAUGUUUGGCCGAGGUUAAGUCACACGCUAUUGAAUCAGCGAUCCAACACUUUUUUUUUUUUUUGUUGUUGUUGUUAAUUCUCUUGUGAAUUUGCAAUAUACAAUUUUGUUUACCCAAAUUCUAAUUUAUUCUUUGCUUUAAAACAAAAAAAAACUUUGCUCACAUACAUGUUAUCAUUAUCGUCGAGAUAUAUGUUUUUUUAAUAAAGACAAAGACUAUUUUGGGUAGUACCUGACCUGAGUCAAGUAUGUAAAACCCUAAGAUCACAAAUUCAAUGUCUUUUCGACUAAAACAGAUAAACAGUACGGUACAAUACAAAACAUCCCAAUGAUAUCUUUCCAGAAUAUAAUGUGCUAUGGCUUUUUGAAAGAUGUAUUUAUUCUUUUAGGAAAAGCAAAAUUCUCAAAGAAGCAAAGACAGAUAAGUAAGAACAGAGUGCUUCACUUUCAGCUAAAGAAGAAAUUACAAACAUUUUCAUCAGGCUCCGGAGUUGGAGACCUAAAUGGAUUCUAGACUUCUGGUUCUCCAAAAGCUCUCCGUUACCUGAAGAAAAGAUGGCUUGCGUUAAAGCUAUGUAAUCGUCUUGUCAUUAUCAGUAUAGUCAUGGUCAAUCCCAAGUUGAUCCUAAAACAGAACAAAACAGAACUGGAAGAUGUUUUGAUUACAUUAAAAAGUUGAUAAGCUCUGGGAACAACGAAGGAUCCGCGGUAGGUGUUUCUAUAUAUUGUUGUUCAGUUAUCAUUGGAUCAAUACACAAAACUUCUUCCUCUAGACAUGGUUGGGAAAGACACAACGAUGCUCCAUCAACAUGAACGUUGCUAGAAGAAACUGAUGAAAACCUGGGUGGAAGAACUCCCCUGCCAAUAACGAAAGCUCCAGAUUUGUAGCGGUCAAUUCUGUGUCCGCUUCUAUUUGGCCACUUGGUAAGUUGAUAUAUUCUUCAGAUGUUCCUAUUAUCAUCUGCAUUAUAAACCAAACUAUCUAUCCUACGAAACUGUUCAUCCUCCAAAAAAAUCAAGAGACAGCUAUGCAACUUUCAGAUCAAAACUGGCAAAAGGCUUACCCGCAUCCGCUUCUUGCUUCUCCCAGUCUCUACUACAACAUCAACUUUUUCUACAGACUAUUGGUUGUCCUCUUUUUCAGGAGAGACAUUCAAAAUUCGUACACCGCAUCCCUUUAUGCUCUCCUUGGGAAUAAACACAAAUUCCAAAUUGUUGUCUGAUUUAGAUGGAACGUCUAUAGGCGGGAACUUGAAGGAACCCAAAACCAUAUGAUCCGUAUUACACAACGUCAUCGUACCAUGAAAUACUGUCUCCCAAAUAUGUAGGAACUUCUCCACCUGGUAGGACCGUCUUGACGUAUGAUCGUAGGAUGAGUUCCUGCGCAUCUCCAUCCAAUUUGAAACAAUUAAGGAGAUAGAAAUAUUCUCUUCUCAUCAAGUCGGCCAUUUGAUGGCCGUGCUUGUUUAAAUUUACUGUCAAUGGUUUCUAGGAAAUGCGAAAGCGUUAAAGAAGCAACCACAAGGAUGUAAGAACAGAGUACUUCUGCCUUCAGCCUUCAGCUAAAGAAGAAAUUGCAAACAUUAUCAUGCUCUGGAGUUGGACUCUUUAACGGAUUCUGGUUUUUUUUAAGUAGUAACCCCUGCAGGAAAUUAUUGCUUUGAUAAGCCAAACUCCACUAAGAGCUUGAUGCGCUUGAUGAGCUUGAUGACCUGUCCAACAAGCAAGAAAAGAGUCAAUGUUGAGAGUUGAAAGUAUAUAUAGAGUCUCUAAUCUCUGAGAGGUUAUUCAAUUAGUGAAUUGGUGUGUUUGUUAAGACUCCUGCAUGAGUCUCUUGGGUUGAGGAUUCAGAGCCCGAAACUCUGCAAUUCUCUUCAUUGUGUGACAGAUUCUUUGAUAGAUCAAUAAAAGAUUGCUUGUUUAUUCUUGUCAAGCUUGUGUGAAAAACCUAUGAAAUCAUCUUUUCAUUAUCACUAUAGUCAUGGUCGAUCCCAAGUGAUCCUAUAACACAAAAAAAAAACAGAAUAGUAAGAUGUUUCAGUUACCAUAACUCCCACUCCCAAUCCACAUUAGCUAUAUGAAUUUGUGCAUCUUGUUGUUCAGUAAUCAUGGAAUCAACACACAAAGCUUCCCCCUCCAGCCAUGGAUUAAAAGAAACUGAUGAUGAUUCUCCCCACCCUAACGGAACAGUGUCUGUUACUAUUUGGCCACAGGGUAAGUUGAAAUAUUUUUCAGAGUUUCCUAAUGUCAUCUGUAUAAUAAACCAAAAGAUGGAUUCUUUUAGAUAGUUCAUCCCUGAAAAAAAACAAUCAAGAGAUAGCUUUAAUAGUUUUCAGUUCAAAAUAAUGGCAAAAGGCUUACCCGCAUCCGCUUCUUGCUACUUUCAGUCUCUACAUCAUCACAUUUUUCUCCAGACUGUUGGUGGUACUCUGUUACAGAGUCUCCAUCACUAUCAUCCGGAGAUUCUGUUUCAGAGCUUCCCUCACUAUCAUCCGGAGAUGUAGACACAUUCAAGAGUCGUAUGCCGCAUCUUUUUACUCUCGUCCCGUUAAACUUAAAUUCCACAUCAUUGACGUCUAAUUUAGAUAGAAGACCUGUAGGCUGGAACUUGAAGGAACACAAAACUAGAUGAUCCGUCUUACACAUCAUUUCCAUGCCCUCAUAUAUUGUAUGUCUAUAAUGUUCGCCAUUGAACUGAAAGAGUACGUCCAUGCAUGCAAAAGAAUGGGUUAUAGGUUCAACCACGAGACAAGCAUUAAAUCGCAAGAAUUUAUGAGAAAGAGAGCUCUGAGGCAAAGUGACAGUUAGGGAAUUUCCAUAAGCUUGAUGCUUAAAAUAUGUAGGCACUUCUCCACCUGGUAAGACCAUAGUCGUCUUGAAGCAUGAUCCUAGGAUAAGUUCUCGCGCAGCUCUAUCCAAUUUGAAGCAAUUCUGGAAUUUAAAAUAUAUUUCUCCAUACUCAUCCUCGUCAUCCUCAUCCUCGUCAUACUCAUACUCAUACUCAUCCUCGUCAUCCUCAUCCUUGUCACAUUUAGGUCUCUUUUCGACCUUAUUUAUCUUUUCAUUGUUUUGAUCUUCCAUUGUUGUCACCGGAUCACUCAACGCUGUGAUGACACCUCCACAGUCUGUAAAGUCGACCUUCAUAAGCCUUGUCAGUCUGAAAAUGUUCGGGGAUAUGUUUUUCAACAUUUUGCAACCACUCAUAUUUAGUACCUUGAGCCUCGAAAAUUUCUCAAUGAAGCAGGGAACUUGUUCAAUGGCGGUGUCAGCUAGAUUGAGUUCUUGAAUACUAGUUGAAAUCUGAGGAAAUCUUCUCAACGACUUGCAACCACGCAUCGAUAAUUCCAUGAGCCUCGAGAAAUUCUCAAAACAUGGAACUUCUUCAAUGGCAGUGUCAUCUAGAUUGAGUACUGCAAUACUUUUUGAAAUCUGAGGGAUAAAUCUCAAACUUGAGCACCCUUUGAGAUGGACUGUAUGGAGAGAUGACAAGUUGAUAUCCAUAGGAAGAACCUUCAGCCCUGUGCAUUCUUCCAUAUUUAACGUGUAUAAUUUUUGGAGAUUCCCAAUUGUAGAAGGUAACAUCACCAAACUUUUGCAAUUUGAGAGAUCCAAAAUCUCCAGAUUGGUGGCCUUUGAAAGGUCUGGAAUUUCUAUCAUGUUUUCACAUUCUGACAGAUCCACCCUCUUGAGUUUCCCAAGCGACUGAAACAGAGUAAAACAUUGUUAUGCUUUUCUUUUUUCUGAAUGUAAAACGUUGUUAUGCUUUAAUCAUUGUCAAUACUAUAUCUGUUUAGUGUUAUAAUCAAGAACAAGACAUAAUUUUGUAUAUAAUACACGUAUAAAUCGUACCUGGACGCCUUCCCAUAGCUUCUCAAGCAUGUUGUUGCCUCUCACUGUGAGGUUUUUGAGAUGUUCUGGGCGAAAUUUACUUGGAUUACAUCUCCUAAGGCAAUCGAGAUAAUCGAGUCCAGGGAGAUUCUUGUUCCAUAAACAAUCUGCUACCUCGAUCUCAAUUUCAUCUGUAAAGAUGAAACUUUGCAUUAUAAUCUCAGGGAAAUUUCUCAACCGGGGGCAUAGUAGGAGAUUGAGGAACUUAAGAGAUUCCGAGUUGAGAGGACUUGGAAAACUUUCUAGCACUUCGCAGUUACAAAGAUCUAAUUCCUCGAGGUUUGUGGCUAAAGAAAGAUCUGGAAUUUCUUUCAAAUUGUUGGAAUUCCUCAAAUUCAUCUUCUUGAGACUUCCAAGAGGCUGAAAACAACAUAUGGAAAAAGAGAAUAACACAGAUUUAUUUAGAUUGUUUAACAAAUAAAUUAAUAAAAAUAACACAGUUCUGUUUUCAAAUAGACAACUCGAAACAAUAAAGAAUUAGUACCUGAGUUCCAUUCCACAGCUUCUCAAGGGCACUAUUCUCCAUUCUGAGUUCAACCAGAUACUCAGCCUUAAAAUUAGAAGGCAAACGCUUCAAUGGACAAUUUUCCCACCGUAGCCAUUUGAGUUUACGUGGCAAGUAAACGAGGCCGUUAGGUAGACGCAAUCUGGUUUCUCUCGGUUGCCACCAGUAAUGAUCAUGAAUAUUUAGAAAUUGGAGAUUAAGCAUGCCUUGGAACGAGUUUUCAUCUAUUGAAAUAAAUGGCUUAUCGAUUUGUGAAUCUGAUGACGUGCUGAAAUCUAUUCCGAGCAAUUUUUCAGUGCCCUGACAAAAAAAAAAAACCCAAAGAAAACUGUUAUCCUCAAGUACCAAACUAAAUCAAUGUUUUUAACAUCAAAAGCCAAUCGUUGAAUUAAUAUAAAGUGGUGCAUUAAGCUGCAAAAACUUACGGUAUUAUCGGUAAAUACGUCUAGAAUUUCCUCAGCAUUCUCCAGAAAUCGACGUUUUCCAGGAUUACCAUUAGACUCUUCACGAUCAAUUUCUGUAGCCAACUUCUGAAGCAAAUUGUGCAUCUCUAUAGUAUCAUUCGGUGUUAAACGUAUGAGGGACUUAUCAUCCAACGUUUUGAGCCUAAUGUUAACAUUAACACCAUCUCCGAGGAAGUCUUUGAUGGAUUUGACUUUCCAACCAUUGAAUAACCAUGCAAUGUAAUGGAAUAUAUCUUGAUCUUUUGGAUCUAAUCUAACGUAGCUGACUCUUAAUGUUUUCAUAAUAUCUCUGUUCAAACCAUUUUGGAGCUCAGCCAGCAUCUCCAUCCACUCUUCUUUGCUCCUUCGUUUUAAAGACGAACCAAGGACACUGAGACCCAAAGGAAGAUUACCGGCAAGCUUUGCAACUUCAAAUGCUAGUUCCUUAAAAUCAUCAGGUGGAGAGUAUUUCCCAAAAGCAUAUUGGCAUAUCAUCUUAAGAGCAAGACCUUGAGAUGGGAGCUUCACCUCAUAUAUAAGGUCAAUCUCAUGAGCCUUGAGAAGUUGCCUAUCUUGAGUGAUCACAAUUAUUCUGCUUCCAGAUCCAAACCAUUCAGCUUUUCCCACCAAGGUCCUAAGAAACUCUAGAUUAUCCACAUCAUCAAGAAGGAUAAGAACUUUCUUGUGCUUCAACCUUUGCUCCACCACACCAAAAUGCUCUAUCUUUAUGUCCUUUUGACCUAAGAUUUCCGAGAGAAGUUCUUUUUCCCAACUCAACUUCAUGCCAGAGACGUCACUACCACUGGUGCUUUUAUAAGUUAUGAAAGCGCGAUGGUGGAACUGGCUAGAGAGUUGACUGAAAAGAGCUCUUCCUAUAGUACUCUUACCAAUCCCUGACUGUCCCCAAAUCCCGACCAUUAUUCUAGCUUCCUUGGAUUCCAAGCACAGUUUUAAUUUUAUUGCCUCUAUAUGAUCCUCAAUUCCGACUAAGUCACCAAAACCCUUUGGCAGAGGAAAAAGUUUAUUCGAAACAUCAUUAGCUAUCUUUACAACCAUGGCUGCUUCACUAGGCCUAAUAACAAUAGUCAAAAUUGUGUCAAUAAAGAGGCACCCCUAAAAGCACAAUCGAAGAUUCGAAGUGAACGCCAAGAAAAGAAAAAAAAAAGUACAGUUUUGCAAUAAUUAUAAACACUCAUAGAAAUAGUGGAAUAAAUAAAACAUACCCGUUCCGAAGAUCCUCCCCGGCUAAAUUUGAUAUAUCUGUGAGAGCUUUAACCCAUCUUUGUUUCUGAUCCUCUGGUUUGUCCUCGCAUGUCUUUUUAAAGACAUCGCCAAAGCCACCGAUCUGUUUUCUAACAUGAGAAGGAUCAACGCCGUAGAAAACCGGAAUCACCAUUUGAUCCAAGUCUUUGUCCUUGUGACACUUGUGGAUCUCCACCAAUUCAUUCAAGCACCACGUGGAAGAAGCAUAGUUCUCAGAGAAGAUAACUAUUGAGAUCCUCGCUUCUCUAAUGGCCGUUAUAAGCUCAUCGGCGAUUAUGCAGCUUCUCACGAUGCCGUGAUCCAUGAAUGUAUUGAUUGAUCUGCGGUCGAGCGCCUCGAUUAGAUGGCUGAGGAACGUUUUGCGAACAUCUACCCCACUGAAGCUUGGGAAAACGUCGUAUCUCCGGCUACUAGGAGAAGAAGAAGAAGAAGAAGAAGAUGAGCUCAGGGUCGUGGUGGAGGUCGGUGGUUGUGGCCAGUGGGUGGGAAGGGUGGAAGCUAGUUUGUAUGUAUGGGGCUGAGGUGGUGCUGAGUUAUGUUGUAAUCACUGUUUUUUACUCUGAGUGUAGGAAACGCCAUGGUAGCAGUGAUGCAAUUGUUGCUGAUGAGGUUGCUAUUUAAAACUUUUUUGUUGUUGAUAGUUCUCUUGUGAAAUUGUGAAAUACAUUUUUGUUUACCAAGAUUAUGAUUUAUUCAUUGCUUUAAAGAGAGGAAAAUAACAUUUCGUAGAGAGAGAUAUGUGUUUCAACAGACAAGACUGUUAUAUUCACAUCUUUCAGGAGAAGCGAAAUUUUCAAAGAAGCAAAACAGAGAAGUAAGAAUAGAGUACUUCUGUUCUGGACAUGGAACCAUAAAAGGUUUCUAGCUGUCAGUAAGUGUUCCAUCAUCUGCAGGAGAAAAUGGCUUGUGUGAAAAACUAAGAAAUCGUCUUGUCAUUACCAGUAUAGUCAUGGUCGAUCCCAUGUUCAUUAUGAAACAGAGUUGUAAUACGUUUCAGGUCACCUUAACAAUGUGAUAAGCUGUGGAGACGGCUAAGGAUCCAGGAAAGGAAUCUUAACAAUGUGAUGGUGUGAAUUCAGUCAAGGCAGAUCUUAACUGAUCAGGGUCAGCAGUGAAAGGUGUCGUCCCCAUCAGACCAAACGUCUAUCAUCUUAGGCCCUCGAUGCAAAGAUCUGAAGCAAACCAAUUCAGUCAAGAACAGCCCCAGAGAAUGAGCUUCCUAUCCUAGAUGUUCUAGUGAGUAGUUCAGGCCUACAACUUUCACUCUUUAUCAUAUAAUUAAAGAGUGCAGCGGGAUGGGGGAACAGCAGCGACAUGUUUUCUCAUCGACGUAGGAUAGCUGGAUGAUACUUCAUGGUUUGGAAGUGGACCAGACAAUGUCUCCUGCAGAAAGUUUAAAAGCUCUUUCCUUCAGCUGAUGGAUUGUUCCUUAUGCUGGUCACAUCUUUGGCCAAAGUUAGGCCAAAAACGCUUCUGCCUUUUGGCUAUUGAAUCAGCAAUGCAAAUGUUGUUGAUGACAAGGAUCUUGCUAUUUAAAAUUAGUUCCAACACACUCUUGUUGUCAAUUCUUUUGUGAAUUUGCGAUAUACAUUUUUGUUUACGCAAAGUCUGAUUUCUCUAUUCAUUGCUAAUAAAGAGAAAAACAACCUGUGCUAAUAUACACAUUGAGAUCUAUGUUUCAAAGAAAAGGCAGACAAAAUGUUCAAAGCAAACAGAGUGUUUCUGCAUUCAGAUAAAGAAGAAAUUACAAACACUUUCAGGCUCCGGAGUUGGAUGAUUAAACGGAAUUUGGUUCUCCAAAUAUCAUUCUGCAGAAUAAAAUGAUCUCCAUGUACCAUCUAUCAAUAAAAAAUGGCUUGUGUCAAAACCUAUGAAAUCGUCUUGUUAUCAUUAUAGAUAUAUAAUCAUGGUCGAUCCCAAGUUAUCCUAAAACAGACCAAAACAGAAUGAUAAGAUGCUUCAGUUACCAGAAACAGGAUCCAAGAAAGGAAUGUCUUCAUCUUGUUCUUUAGUUAUCAUAUAAUCAACAGACAAAGCUUCCCCCUCUAGAGAUGUUGAUGAUGAUGCUUCUCCCUCCCCUAACGAAAGCUCCAUAUUUAGAGCGGCCAAUCCUGUGUCUGCUACAAUUUGGUCACCGGCUAAGUUGAUAUAUUCUUCAGAUGUUCCCGAUGUCAUCUGCAUUAUAAAUCAAACGAUCGAUUCUAUUAAAUAGUCUGUCUCUAUGGUAUUUCGAUCCUGGAAAAUCAAAUCAAAAGUCAAAAUAUAGCUUUAUAAUUUUCAGCUCUAAUCAAAAGUCAAAAGAUACCCGCAUCCGCUUCUUGCUUCUCGUAGUCUGUUGGUUGUACUCUGUUUCUUGAGAGACAUACAUGAGUCGUACACCGCAUUCUUUGAUCCUAUUGGAGCAACAAAACUUAAACUCCACAUCGUUGAAAGUCAUUUCAGACUCGAACUUGAAGGAACAGAAAAACAGAUGAUCCGUCUUACAAAACUCCAGUUCUUCAUCUUCCAAAAAUGAUUUCUGAUACUGUUUGCCAUUGAAGCCAAAGUUUACCUCCAAAUAUCGAUAAAAACCCUUGCCCUCGGAGAGAGGGUCAACCACGAGACAAGCCUUAAAUCGCAAGAAGGAUUGAGAAAGAGAGCUCCGAGGUAAAGUGACAGUUAGGGAAUCUCCAUAAGCUCGAUACGUGAAAUACUUAGGGAUUUCUCCACCUGGUAAGGCCACAGGCUUGAAGCAUGAUCGUAGGAUGAGCUCUCGCGCAUCUCUAUCCAAUUUGAAGCAAUUACGGAAGCUAAAAUAUUCAGUACCUAAGUCCCAAUCACCAUCACCAUACAACUCACCCCAGAAACGUUCACAUGUAUAUUCAAUGUUUUCAGAUAAUGGUACACAAGAAACGCUAUCUUCCAUUGUCGCUACCACAGUUGCAUCACUCAACGCCUUGAUGACACCUCUACAGUCUGUAAAGUCGGCGAACAUUAGACUUCUCAGUCUGAAAAUGUUUGGGGAGAUGUUUUUCAACCUCUGGCAACAAUACAUCAGUAGUACACGGAGCCUCGUGAAAUCCUCAAUGCAGCAGGGAACUUCUCCAAUGGCGGUGUUUUCCAGAUAGAGCCAUACAAUAUUAGUUGAAAUCAGAGGAAAAGUUCUCAAACUUGAGCAACCACUGAGAUCGAGGAUACCCAGAGAUGACAAGUUGACAUCGGUUGGAAGAACCUCCAGCCCUGUGCAUCUUUUCAUGUACAAACGUCUCAAAUUUUGAAGAUUCCCAAUUGUAGAAGGAAGUGUCACCAAACUUUUGCAGUUGUUGAGUAUCAAAGACUCGAGCUUGGUGGCCUUUGAAAGAUCUAGAAUUUCUUCAAUGGCGGUGUUUUCCAGAUAGAGCCAUUUGAUACUCUUUGAAAUCAGAGGAAAAGUUCUCAAACUUGAGCAACCACUGAGAUCGAGGGUUUCGAGAGAUGACAAGUUGACAUCGGUUGGAAGAACCUCCAGCCCUGUGCAUUCUUUCAUUUCCAACCUCACCAAUUUUUGGAGAUUCCCAAUAGUAGAAGGAAGUGUCACCAAACUUUUGCAGUUGUUGAGAUAUAAAUGCUUCAGAUUGGUGGCCUUUGAAAGAUCUGGAAUUUCUGUCAGGUUUUCAGAUUCUGACAGAUCCAUCUCUUCGAGACUUCCAAGCGACUGAAAAAAACAUUAUCGAUGAUAAUCAUUUUAAUUUUAUACCUAUAUAUGUUUAAAAUUAUAAUUAAACAUUAUUACGUAUGUAUGUAAGACAUAACCGUGGAUCGACCACAAGCCAUAAAAACAAAUUUGGGUAUACUUAAUUAGUUAUAUAACAGAAGGUAAACAAAAAUCAGCAUAGCAUUAACAAUGUACCUGGAUGCCUUCCCAUAGCUUCUCAUGCUUGUAGCACCUCACAUUGAGAAAAACGAGAUAUUCUGGGCGAAAUUCACAAGGCAUACAUCUCAUAAGGCAGUCGAGAUAAUCUAGUCCAGCAGGGAGAUUCUUGUUCCAGAAACAAUCUUCUACCACGAUCUCAUUUCUCCCUUCCGGAAAGUCAACGUCUGAACAUCCCAUUUUGAUUGCUGGGAAAUUUCUCAAAUUCGGGCAUCCAGUGAGAUUGAGGUACUCGAGAGAUUCCAAGUUGAGAUCGGUUGGAAAACUCUCUAGCUUUUUGCAAUCACUAAUAUCUAAAUAGAUAAGUUUAAUGGCAUUCUGCAUCGAGGAAGGAAAUGUCACCAAGGAUUCGCAUUUACAAAUAUCUACUUCCUCGAGGUUUAUGGCUAAAGAAAGAUCUGGAAUCUCUUUCAAAUAUUUGGAACCACGCAGAAACAUCUGCUUGAGUCUUCCAAGUGGCUAAUAACAAAAUAGGGGAAAAGAGAGUACACACGUUAGUGAACAUUUUAAACAGAUUCAUUUUAGUUUUUCUAACAGAUUUAUGUUUAGAAAUUGAUCACUAAUAGAAUUAGUACCUGAGUUCCAUCCCACAGCUUCUCAAGGUCACUAUUCUCCAUUCUGAGUUUAACCAGAUACUCAACCUUAAAAUUAGAAUGCAAACGCUUCAAUGGACAAUUAUUCCACAAUAGCAAUCUGAGUUUACUAGGGAAAUAAACGAUGCCCUGAGUGCCUUCCACACGUGAGCAAUCAACUGAUAGAUAUUCGAGAUUACACAUGCCUUCUAAUGAUUUUAAAUCUAUUAAUAUCACCCCCGAACAAUGUAACUUCCUCAGUUUAAUGGCAUUCUGAAUCGAGGAAGGAAGUGUCACCAAAGAUUCGCAUCCUUCAAGAUCUAAUUCCUCGAGGUUUCUGGCAUUAGAAAGAUCUGGAAUUUCUUUCAAAUUUUUGGAACACAACAAAUUCAUCUUCUUGAGACUUCCAAGGGGCUGAAAACAAAAUAUGGAAAAAGAGAAUACACACGUUCACAAAUAUACCACAAUUUUCUGUUCUAAAAACUGACAACUAAUAAAAAUUUAGAAUUCGUACCAGAGUUCCUUCCCACAGUUUCUCAAGCUUACUAUACUUCAUUAUGAGGUUAACUAGAUAUUCCGCCUUAAAAGUAGAUGGCAAAGACUUCAAUGGACAAUCAUCCCAGUCUAGCAAUCUGAGUUUAAGGGGCAAAUAAACGAGGCUCUGAGGUUGACCCCCAUCUGACCAAUCACCAAUUUUUAGAUAUUGGAGAUUACGCAUGCCUUUGAACGAUUCUUUAUCUAUUAAUAACGGCCUUGUCGAAAAAUAUUCCUCGAAUGGCAAACGUAUUCCAAGAAGAGUUUCUGUCCCCUGAAAAAAAAUCCGAAGAAAACUAAUAUAAUCUUAACAAUCACAACCCUUUUUAUUUUUCUGACACAUCAAAGCUACAUUUUAAUUACGAAUGAGGCAACAAUUGCUUAAGUUUAUCAAUCCCCAAAUGACGAUUAAAUUAAUAUAAAGUCAUGCAUUAAAACGGAGCUGCGAAAAAAACUUACAGUUUUCUCGGUCACUACUUCAUGAAUAUCCUCAAAAUUCGUCAGAAAUUGACGUUUUCCAGGAUUACCCUUGGACUUUGCACGAUCAAUUUCUCUACCCAAUUUCUCUAGCAAAUUGUGCAUCUCUAUAUGUCCAUCCGGUGUAAUACGUAUGAGGGACUUCUCAGACAACAUUGUAAGCCCAACAUUAUCUUCAAGUAAAUCUUUGACGUAACUGACCUCAAAACCAUUGAAUAAACACGCAAUGCAAAGGAACAUAUCUUGAUCUUUUUGAUGUAAUCUAUCGUAGCUGACUCUUAAUGUUUUCAUAAUAUCUCCGUUCAAACCAUUUCGGAGCCUAGGCAUCAUCUCCAUCCACUCUUUUUUGCCCCUUCUUCUUAAUGACGAACCCAGGACAUUGAGACCCAAAGGAAGAUGGCCGGCAAGCUUCGCAACUUCAAAUGCUAGUUCCUUAAAAUCAUCAGGUGGAGAGUCUUUCCCAAAAGCAGAUCGGCAUAACAUCGUAAGAGCAAGACCUUGAGAUGGCAGCUUCACCUCAUAUACAAGGUCAAUGUCAUGAGCCUUGAGAAAUUGCCUAUCUUGAGUGAUCACAAUAAUUCUGCUUCCCGAUCCAAACCAUUCAGCUUUUCCCACCAAGGUCUUAAGAAACUCUAGAUUAUCCACAUCAUCAAGAAGGAUAAGAACUUUCUUGUGCUUCAACCUUUGCUCCACCACACCAAAAUGCUCUAUCUUUAUGUCCUUUUGACCUAAGAUUUCAGAGAGAAGUUCUUUUUCCCAACUCAACUUCAUGCCAGAGACGUCACUACCACUGGUGCUUUUAUAAGUUAGGAAAGCGCGAAGGGGGAAUUGGAUAGAGAGUUGACUGAAAAGAGCUCUUCCUAUGGUACUCUUACCAAUCCCUGAUUGUCCCCAAAUCCCGACCAUUCUAGCUUCCUUGGAUUCCAAGCACAAUACUGAUUUUAUUGCCUCAAUAUGAGCUUCAAUUCCGACGAAGUCAUCAAAACACUUUGACCGAGUGAUAAGUUUAUUCGAAACAUCAUUGGAUAUCUUUUCAACCAUAUGCGCUUCAUUAGGCCUAAUAACAAAAGUCAAUUUUGUCAAUUAAGAAGCACCCCUAAAAGAAGAACCGAAGUCUAUGCAAAAAUAUAGUUCUGAGACAAUUGAAAACGCAAGCAGAUAUAUUGGAAUCAUAACAACGUACCCGUUCAGAAGAUCCUCUCCGGCUAUAUUUGCUAUAUCUGUGAGAGCUUGCACCCAUCUUUGUUUCUGAUCCCCUGGUUGUUUGUCCUUGCUGACCUCGCAUGUCUUUUCAAAGACCUUUCCAAAUUCGCCGGUCUGUUUUCUAACUUCCGAAGGAUCAACGUCGUAGAAAACUGGAAUCACCAUUUGACCUAAAUCAUUAAAGCACUUGUGGAUCUCAACCAAUUCAUUUAAGCACCACGUUGAAGAAGCAUAGUUCUUAGAGAAGAUGACGAUUGAGAUCCUAGCUUCUCUAAUCGCCGAUAUAAGCUCAGGGGCGAUUGUGCGGCUUCUCUCGAUUCCAUGAUCGAUGAAUGUAUUGAUUGAUUUGCCGUCGAGCGCCUCGAUUAGAUGGCUGAGGAACGUCUUGCGAACAUCAACCCCACUGAAGCUUGGAAAAACGUCGUAUCUCCGUCUGCCAGAAGAAGAAGAAGCCGCCAUGGGAGAUGAUAGAGAGAACUCAGAGAAGAGACGAAGAUUUUUAAGAGAAGUAAAUCAGCAAGACAUAGUGUGAGAAAGAGAGGAGAAACUUCGUCUUCCUUCCCUCCAAGACUUGCAUAGAAGACUUACUGUACAAGAUAUUCUUUUAAGUGGCUAAAAUCAAAUCUCCUAACAAGACAAUUGAGACGUAAAUAAUAAAGAAACUCGGCCCUUCCUUUCCUCGAAAGCUUUUUUACACUACAUACAAAGAUAUUUUUGAAGAUUGAAUUUUUGUGGUUGUCACUGAAUUAUGAUAAGUCUUAGUCUUUGUACAAGACAGAAAUAAUAUUUCAAUUUCUAGGCAAGUAGACAGAAACUUACAUUCGUUUCCUCUACAAAGAUAUUUUGAAAACACAAAUUUUGUGGUUAUCAGUUGUCCUUGUACAAGACAGUUUAUCGUAAGAAUGUUAUGAUUGUUUAAUAUCUAAGUCUUGUUUCCCUAUACAUACAUGCACACGGUUUAGGAGAAUAAGUAUAUCGAUUAUGAGGAUUUUAAUUCAAAUAAUACAGUGAAAAUACUAAUUAACACUAACUCUCUAGUUUGCUAAAUUACUCUUUUAGUUUUCAAGAAUUGUAUUAUUAGUUUAAAGUUUGGCUUAGUGCGUCAGCCACCACUGUAGUUUUAAGGAGCAUUUGGUUUCUAAGGGUUUCAUGUACUGGAUGGAAGAACUCGUGUCUGAGAACAUCCUCUGCGCUGUUUCGUUGCCUUGGGUUAACGGUCAAACAUCUAUCCACGAAGUCAAGGAGCGGCCGUGGAAUUGCGUCUAGAAACUCUCUGCGUUUGUGUUGAGUUCACACCAUUUUCUCAACUCCAGCCCCUUGAAGUACCUUGACUCGUACAAUUCCUGAAACAACAACACAAAACUCUACGUGAAUUCAUCUCACACGAUCAUCUAUCUAAUCAUUUUGUCACUAAUUUACAUUUUAAAGAUAUAUAAUGCUAACGAUGAAAACCCUUUUGUGAUAUUUGAAUCCAUAUGCUGGUGGCAAAGAAGAACAGAGCAUGUAUGUUAUAUUCAAACCAAUGCAGCAAUCAAAUAAAUGGAGAGUUUUAUCAGGGAGGUAAGAUGAGAUGUAACCUCAGGGAAAGAGGAUUCACGGUUGUGCAGCUUGGCUACUUCCCAUAAUUCUUCACUGCCUCGUAGUUGCGCAAUGCCCUUUAUGUUCCUGGGAAUGACAAGGUCGUUGUAAGACGGCAAGAAAGAAAAAAGAGUGGAAUCGACUGAUGGUGUAUUAUUUUUUUUUUCUAUUAUUAGGUAAUUGGUACAAUAUCUGAAGCAAACCUGCACAAACCAAUUCAGCUAAAAUAAGCACCAGAGAAAUUAGCUUUCACAUCCUAAAUGUGAUAAUGACUAGUUCACUCCUACAAUUGUAGUCUCAGCUCUCAAUGCACAAGUUUAUUAUAUAUGGAAUUAAUUACUAACAUACACAUUGAGAUGUAUCUGUGUUUUUAGAAAAGUCAGGACUAAUUUAAAAACAUUAACUAAUUCAAUGUCUUUUAAACUUAUCCAUAGAUGUAAGGAAACAUACAAAAUCUGUCAAAAAUACUUUUCCAGAAUGAGCUAAAUUGUGGCUUUCAAAACAUGUAUUUAUACGAAAGCCUUAGAGAAGUAGAUACAAAGAUGUAAGAACAGAGUACCAUGCUCUAGAGUUGGAGACUUAAAAAGGCACCAGCGACGAAGAGCUUGAUGAGCCUGAUGAGCCUGAUGACCUAUAAAAGAAGAAAGAACAGAGUCAAAGAGUCAACAUUAUAACUAAAUAUUGAGUCUUUAAAGUAUAUAUAUAUAGAGAGAGAGUCUCUAAUUCUGUGAGAGAUUGAUUAUCCAAUCAGUGAAUUGGUGUGUUUCAGAGCCUGAAACUCUGCAGUUCUCUUCAUUAUAAUUCAGGUUAUUUGAUAGAUCAAUAAAGAUUGCUUGUCUUGUUAUGCUGCAACAAAACAAAACAGAAUAGUAAGAUGUUUCAGUUACCAUGAUGCCUCAGAAUCUUCGUCCCUAUGCGCGAUGGGAAUUUCUUUAGCUUGUCGCUUAGUUAUCAUGGAAUCAACAGAGAAAGCUUCACCCUCCAGACAUGGAUAUGAAAUUGAUGACGAUUCUCCCCGCCCUAAUGGAAGCUCCAGAUUUGGAGCGGUCAAUCCUGUGUCUGUUACUGUUUGGCCACAGGGUAAGUUGAAAUCUUCUUCAGAGUUUCCUAAUGUCAUCUGUAUAAUAAACCAAACUAUCGAUUCUUUUAGAUAGUGGCCUUCCUGAAAUAUUAAAAAGAAAAUCGAGAGAUAGCUUUAAUAGUUUUCAGUUCAAAUUAUGGCAAAAGACUUACCCGCAUCCGCUUCUUGCUACUACUCUCAGUCUCUACAGCAUCACAUUUUUCUCCAGACUGUUGGUUGUACUCUGCUUUAGAGCUUCCAUCACUAUCAUCCGGAUAUGGAGACACAUGCAGGAGUUGUACGCCGCAUCCUUUGAUCCUCCUCCCUUUAAACUUGAAUUCCACAUUAUCCAAGACCUUUACCUUUGGAUAUAGAGUAUUUUUAAACUGCCGGAACUUGAAGGAACACAAAACCAGAUGAUCCGUCUUACACAUCAGUGUCAUAUCAGUAGCUAUUGUAUGGAUAUAAUGUUCGCCUUUGUAUUGGAAGUAUACAUACACACUCCCAUAAGAAUCGGUUUGAGGUUCAACCACUACACAAGCAUUGAAUCGCAAAAAUUUGUGAGAGAGAGAUCUCCGAGGUAAAGUGAUAUUUACGGAAUUUCCAUAUGCUCGAUGCUUGAAAUAUGCAGGCACUUCUCCACCUGGUAAAACCAUAGUCUUCUUGAAGCAUGAACGUAGGAUGAGUUCUCGUGCAUCUCUAUCCAAUUUGAAGCAAUUCUGGAAGUUAAAAUAGUUUCUUCCAUACCAAUAAUUAUCUUCAUCCUCAUCCUCCUCCUCAUCAUCCUCCUCCUCAUCCUCGUCCUCAUCCUCAUCAUCGUCAUCGUCAUCUUCAUCCUCCUCAUCCUCAUCCUCAUCCUCAUCCUCGACAUCGGUAUUCUCGUUAUACUCAUCCUCAUCCUCAUUCUUGUCAUAACUCAUCCUCAUUCUCGUCAUCCUCAUUAUAGUCAUCCUCAACAUCAUCGUCUCGUGUACGCAUCUUUUCAAUCUUUUCAUAGUGAUCAUCCAUUGUUGCCACCACAGUGGAAUCACUCAACGCCGAAAUGACACCUCCACAGUCUGUAAAGUCGACCUUCUUAAGCCAAGUCAGUCUGAAAAUGUUCGGGGAGAUGUUUUUCAACUUUUUGCAACCACUCAUAUUUAGUAUCUUGAGCUUCGAAAAAUUCUCAAUGAAGCAAGGAACUUGUUCAAUGGCGGUGUCAGCUAGAUUGAGUUCUUGAAUACUAGUUGAAAUCUGAGGAAAUCUUCUCAACGACUUGCAACCACGCAUCGAUAAUACAAUGAGCCUCGAGAAAUUCUCAAAACAUGGAACUUCUUCAAUGGCAGUGUCAUCUAGAUUGAGUACAGCAAUACUUUUUGAAAUUUGAGGGAAAAAUCUCAAACUUGAGCACCCUUUGAGAUUGACUGUAUGGAGAGAUGACAAGUUGACAUCCAUAGGAAGAACCUUCAGCCCUGUGCAUUCUUUCAUUUCUAACGUGUAUAGUUUUUGGUGAUUCCCAAUUGUAGAAGGUAACGUCACCAAACUUUUGCAAUUUGAGAGGUUCAAAUUCACCAGAUUGGUGGCCUUUGAAAGAUCUGGAAUUUCUAUCAGGUUUUCACAUUCUGACAGAUCCAUCCUCUCAAGUUUCCCAAGGGACUGAAACAGAGUAAAACAUUGUUAUGCUUUUCUUUUUUUUAAUGUAAAACGUUGUUAUGCUUUAAUCAUUGUUGAUACUAUAUCCGUUUAGUGUUAUAAUCAAGAACAAGACAUAAUGUUGUAUAUAUUACACGUAUAAAAAUCGUACCUGGACGCCUUCCCAUAGCUUCUCAAGCAUGUUGUUGCCUCUCAGUUUGAGAUUAACGAGAUGUUCUGGUAGAAAUUUACUUGGAUUACAUCUCCUAAGGCAAUCGAGAUAAUCUAGUCCAGGGAGACUCUUGUUCCAUAAACAAUCUGCUACGUCGAUGUCAAUUCCAUAUGGGGAAAUUUGCAUUAUAGUCUCAGGGAAAUUUCUCAACUUGGGGCAUCGUAGGAGAUCGAGGUACUCGAGAGAUUCCGAGUUGAGAGGACUUGGAAAACUUUCUAGCACUUCGCAAUCAGAAAUAUCUAAUCUCUCGAGGUUCAUGGCAUAAGAAAGAUCUGGAAUUUCUUUCAAAUAUUUGGAAUUACGCAGAAUCAUCUUCUUUAGGCUUCCAAGUAGCUGAAAACAAGGAAAGAGAGAAUAACACACAUUUAUAAACAUUUCAAACAGAUUUAUUUAGAUUGUUUAACAAAUAAAUUAAUAAAAAUAACACACUUCUGUUUUCAAAUAGACAACUAAAACAAUAAAGAAUUAGUACCUGAGUUCCAUUCCACAGCUUCUCAAGGUCACUAUUCACCAUUCUGAGUUCAACCAGAUACUCAGCCUUAAAAUUAGAAGGCAAACGCUUCAAUGGACAAUUAUCCCACCAUAGCCAUUUGAGUUUACGUGGCAAGUAAACGAGGCCGUUAGGUAGACGCAUUCUGGUUUCUCUCGGUUGCCACCAUGAAUGAUCAUGAAUUUUUAGAUAUUGGAGAUUAAGCAUGCCUUGGAACGAGUUUUCAUCUAUUGAAAUAAAUGGCUUAUCUAUUUGUGAAUCUGAUGACGCGCUGAAAUGUAUUCCGAGCAAUUUUUCAGUCCCCUGACAAAAACAAAUCCCCAAAGAAAACUAUUAUCCUCAAGUACCAAACUAAAUCAGUUUUUUUCUGUCCUUUUUAACAUCAAAAGCCAAUCGGUGAAUUAAUAUAAAGUGGUGCAUUAAGCUGCAAAAACUUACGGUAUUAUCGGUAAAUACGUCUAGAAUUUCCUCAGCAUUCUCCAGAAAUCGACGUUUUCCAGGAUUACCAUUAGACUCUUCACGAUCAAUUUCUGUAGCCAACUUCUGAAGCAAAUUGUGCAUCUCUAUAGUAUCAUUCGGUGUUAAACGUAUGAGGGACUUAUCAUCCAACGUUUUGAGCCUAAUGUUAACAUUAACACCAUCUCCGAGGAAGUCUUUGAUGGAUUUGACUUUCCAACCAUUGAAUAACCAUGCAAUGUAAUGGAAUAUAUCUUGAUCUUUUGGAUCUAAUCUAACGUAGCUGACUCUUAAUGUUUUCAUAAUAUCUCUGUUCAAACCAUUUUGGAGCUCAGCCAGCAUCUCCAUCCACUCUUCUUUGCUCCUUCGUUUUAAAGACGAACCAAGGACACUGAGACCCAAAGGAAGAUUACCGGCAAGCUUUGCAACUUCAAAUGCUAGUUCCUUAAAAUCAUCAGGUGGAGAGUAUUUCCCAAAAGCAUAUUGGCAUAUCAUCUUAAGAGCAAGACCUUGAGAUGGGAGCUUCACCUCAUAUAUAAGGUCAAUCUCAUGAGCCUUGAGAAGUUGCCUAUCUUGAGUGAUCACAAUUAUUCUGCUUCCAGAUCCAAACCAUUCAGCUUUUCCCACCAAGGUCCUAAGAAACUCUAGAUUAUCCACAUCAUCAAGAAGGAUAAGAACUUUCUUGUGCUUCAACCUUUGCUCCACCACACCAAAAUGCUCUAUCUUUAUGUCCUUUUGACCUAAGAUUUCCGAGAGAAGUUCUUUUUCCCAACUCAACUUCAUGCCAGAGACGUCACUACCACUGGUGCUUUUAUAAGUUAUGAAAGCGCGAUGGUGGAACUGGC
rnacentral:lncRNA from 1 species